rnacentral:lncRNA from 1 species
CUAACGGGACGGUGGGUUCGCUACGGCUCGAGGGGGCGUGUGCGCGUGAAAUGACGAGAAAGCAAAGGCAGCGAAAGAACGAGAGCGAGAAAGCGGAAGGGAGAGGAACAGCGGUGACGCGACGACAUAUUUAUAGGCAGCUGACCACCAACGGACAGAUCCGAGAAGUAAGGUAACUCCCCCAUAAAUGCGCCGCCUGACAUCUCUCUCUCCCUCCUCACAGGCCGGACUCUCCGAAUUCCUCGCCGAUACGGUGUCGCAACGUCAUCCGCCUAAAAAGACGCGCCCAACGGGCAGAAAUGCGAACCGCCACGACCGUUUCCUUCCCUCGUAAGCCAGGGGACAUAACCGCAAAAGUCUCGAGAGAUCGAUGGCUGGCCCGCCGAAAGGGUUCGACAGCCGAUCUCGAGCGCCAGAGUCAGGGAUCCCCAGCAAGUGGUCGAAAAUCGAGGCCCGCCUCGAGGUCUUGCUGGCGAUGUUCAAGGUAGGAUCGAGACAGUCGAGAGGAAUCCCCCCGAAGGGAGGCAUCGAGCCACUGGACUCUAUCGAAUGAGACCGGUAUCCCCGACCACGUCGACCCUGCUUUAUGAGGACGCCUCCGGGCUACAGCUGACCCCCCUCGAAAGGGGCACAGGUUCUCACUUGGACUACCCGCUAGGAACUCAAUUUGGGAUGAAAGACGCUCGCUCCAUCGAGAGUACGUCGAAACCCACGAGCAAAAAACGAGCCAGUCAGAAUCUUCCACCACUGGUGUCGAAAGCGUUUCUGCGAAUUAGAUAACAUAACCCUCGAAGGAGUCAAAAACUCCUCCGAGGUCUCGGGGGCUACCCCGCGGGGUCGCUCGCGCGCCCCCACGAAAAUUCAACCGUAAAUCAAAACCUCCAUUCGAGCGCUAGCGCUCGAAUGAAGGCUCGGGGGCUACUGUCGAGGGUAUCAGUAAGGGGUACCCUCAGCGAUGCGCAUUAUGAGAUUGCCCAUACGAAGGUUGGGACUCCCAAUUCAACGCCUUAAUCUUACUUACGCGCUGCCAACGACGGUCGCAGCCUCGAAUACGGGAAUAGCGUCGAGCGAAUCGGUCAGGGCUCGAGCAACGACUACCGUCGAAGACGGAAGCGGGCUCGAGCGAACCGAGAGACGUCGAGCGUUAGGACACUGUCCGCCGCCUGACGCGCGCACGCGGGCGGGAGCAUUAAAUGCACCUGACGUUUCCCACCUAACACCCGGGUAACGAAAGGCGUGAUAGGGAACAAGCUUCUGUCCCAUCGUUCUUUUUGCAGCCUUCCCACCGAACGACCCAGGGUGCGUCAGGACGCAGGAAACGAGGAUGGAACGUCUAAUCAGGACCCCCUCGAGACACCCAAGGUCAGCGCUCCGGAUGUCAGCCUAUUACGCGGCGCCCGACCCUCGACCAAACGAGGUCCCUUCUCGGGGACGAGUCGGGCAUCGACUGACAACACCACCAGCUCCGCCGGAACCGCCACCAUACCAUACGAGCAUGCGAUCUCAGAACCAGCACAAGGCGGCUAGCAGGGCAGCACACAGGAGCACGCGUAAUCAUCAUCAAGCUAUCAAGAUGGGACGGCUCGAGGCCAUGACGUACGGAAGCCUCGAGUAGGUCAGCGCUCCAUGCGGCUAUCAAUCCCUACUCUAAUAUCUAUGCAUGUACCCUUUGUCUCUCCUUGGAGCUAUAAAAGGAGGGACUCAGGAAUAGAAGAGGGAUCACAACGCAAGCACACACACAUACACGUAGUAGAGCGACACAUUUCAUUCCACGCUUGUAUUCGCCCCUGUACAAGCACUUAGGUGCAAGAUAAUACAAACUCUCUCCCUCCGCUGGACGUAGGGCCUUCUCUUGCCCGAACCAGGAUAAAUCUCUGUGUCUUCUUGCAUCACCAUCCGGAAAGGGGAGCACGCAUACAAAUUUACUCGUUGGUGUGACCCCCCCCCCCGGGGAAAGAACACCGACAAUACUUUCAACUUGAGCAGAUUAAAAGAAGAAAAGAUUUAUGUAGGUUUGGGUAAUAAAACCUUGCGGUCUUUGCAAAAUGGUUGUCAGCUACCCCACCAAAUAGCCUUCAUGAUCCUUGAUGAGUCUUUAUUUUAAGUUUAUGACGGGUAAGUCUAGCUGAGUACCUUCUCGUACUCAGGGUUCUAUUCCCAUGUUGUUUUGCAGAUGGUCAAAUGUACUAUGGUUAUUGCAUCCUCUGUCUGUACCCAGCUAUGGGUGAUGACUAGACCAAGGGCGAUGGUCACUCCGUCUCUUCUUUUGCUUUUGUGGGAAUGACCGAACUAUGGCACUGUAUCAGACUUAUCGUGUGUGUUGUAAUUUCAAACUAUGAAGCUUCCGCUACUUGAAGAACUUGGUUUGUAAUAACUUUAAGCACUCCGAUGUAUUUUAUGAAUGUUGUAAUCUGGAUGUGCUUGUGGAUGGCGACCGCUAAACUUAUUACGAUCUUGGCUGUAUAUGUGAUGUGUGGUUUGAAAUCCUUCGAGAUUUCACGGACUACCGGGAUUAUAUGGGCUUAAGCGUGAUAGUUCGACUACGCAAAUGGUCACUAUUAGGCUUAAUCUCUUAUAAUUUGGUCGGUUCUGUUACAGCUGGCAUCGGAGCAAGGUUUAGCGAGUUACUGUUCAUAAGUAUGUUUUAAACAAAAGUCUAAACCGGUUUAGUAAAAGAUUUUAUUAAUUAAUUAAUAAUGAUCAAGGUGUUAAACUAAGUUUUGGGAAAAUUAUCUAGUGUGCCAUGGUCAUAUCCUUUAUGCCCAGUUAAGGACUCUAAGGUGGCUAGCUAAGUACUGACUUGGGGGUUAAUGCAUCAUAUUUUUAUUUCGUCGCUCAUACGGCGUGCAAUAGUAUGAGUGCCAUUCAUUUGAGUGGUAAUGUAUGGAUCAAUUCUUCCUCUACGCCAUGGUAAGUGGGAGUUGUGAGAGCAUGAUCGGAUACACUGCCGGUCUAGGGAAGUGUUGUCAGGUACUGUGUCAUGCACACAUGUUGGUGUGUCUUGGGAACAGUACCGCAUGUUGAGAAUUCCGUCCUGAGAGGCGAUGUCGUCAUUAGGGCGAUGAUGUGGGUAGUGACACAUCGCAUGCAUGGACGGGUGUCUGUGUAUGUGAAGUGUAUAGUUUUAAAUUUUGUUCUACACGAUCAUACUGUGGGUGGGCUGAAAUGAGUUUUCUGCAGGUACCCUAACCACGUUCUCGCUUAGAACGCUAGUUACGUUAUGGGAGAACGUUGUGUGCCACCGCAUAUACCGCCUAGUGUUAACCUUUGUUUUCUAAGUUUGUGAGAUCGUAAGUUCGUGCAUGCAUCAUGUUCAUUUCAUAUCAUUGCUUACUUUCCCCCUUAAUUUAAUCUGUCCCAAUUCUAAAUAAAAUAAUUAAAGGUAAUCCUCGCUCUUACCCACGGUAUUCCAUUUGCAGCAGAUGGCACGCACUAGGCUCACCGCUCGCAAGUCCACUGGUGGGCGGGCCCCUCGCCGUCCGUUGGCAGCUAGGAGCUCGCGACAUAAGAGCAAGUUCCUAGAGGAGUUUGGGAUGCCCACUUUGCUUUAGAGGGUGCUCAGUUCGAUGGGGUAUCCCGAAGGAAGGGAGCCUCGCUACUAUUGGGAUAAGGAGCCGCUUGGGGAUGAGACCCUGGUGGGGAUCGAGGCAGUUGUCCCUACCAGUGGAGGAGACCCUGCUUGGGGCGGUUGGGUGUACGAGUCCCGAGGUGUCACGCCUUUCCACGGUGCCAGCAGGGCAGCUUUCGCAGUUUUGAGGGACCUCAUGGAGAGGUUUCCACAGGAGCUGGCCCACGCCUUCGCUGGGGUGUUUCCCCGGGGUGACCCUUACACUUCGGUGUGGGAUCAGUCCGAGGUGAAUGCUCUAGAGAGGAGUGCGGAUGAGGACCAGCACAGUGACAGUGCAGCUAUGAGUGCCAUGUACGCGUUGAUGAAGACCUAUGGAGGCCUGGAGCGUUGUUUGGGUCGCUUGUCCGGGUCUCUUCUCACCGUCCAGGAUGAGAAGCGUCAGUUGCAGCAUGAGUUUGACUCUGAGGUUGAGAGGCUACAGGCAGAGUUGGCUCGUGUGACCAGAGAGAGAGACCAGGCAGUCCAGAAGAACAGUGAGCUGAGUCAGGACAUGCUUGCAGUACGGGAGCAGAAGGACAGGGUGACUACUCCUCACCGGAACUGCGAGCGCAUGCUAGUCCAUGUGCUUGGACAGAGGAAUGAAGCCUGGCACGAGGAGGACACUUUGAGGGCCCGACAGCUAGAGCUAGAGCAGCAGCUAGCUAAUGCCGAGGAGUACAAUGAGAACUUGCAUGAGGAGAUCCACCAGCUGCAUAACCAGCUCCACCCUCACCACCUGCCUGGAGCAGCGGAGCUAGACUCUGAGGACGAGAUGGACGCGGAUCCCGAGAUAGGAGCAGCUGCUAGUGGUGAUGAAGAUGAGGAUGGCUCCGGCAUGGACAGUGACCACAGCGAGUAGAUGCUAGGGCUCUAGAGCUAGUCUUUCCUCUUUUGUGAUGUAUGUUGCGUGGCAUGUCAUGUACUUUUGGAUCUGGGCUGUGUAAGACUUUAUGAGUUGAUGCUGAAAGUCCAGUGUAUGUAUGCUGGCAAGUUGAUGUACGCGAACCUUGUUGCGUGAAUGUUAAGUAAUCUGUUAGUGAUGUUGUGCGUGGAUGAUGAGUUGUUGUGCCUUUGUUUAUUGUGUGAAUUUAUUCCCUCAGUAAAUUCAGUAUGGCAUGAUUUUACACAUUUUCUACCGGUUGAUGGCAACUCCUAACGAUUGCUUAUCAUUGGCGUAUGCAGAUGGUACAAACACGUGGCGGGGGUAACAGCAAUCCGGGCCUUGGAGCAGGUACAUCCGGAGGUGGGGCUCAACGGAAUGAGGACAGAGCACCAACACCGCCACCACCACCGCCUCCCCCGUACACUGCGGAUGUGUUUUUCGCGCAGUUUCUGGGAAGCCAACGCAACAUGGAACAGAUGCAGCGCAACAUGGAAGAAGCUUUGCGCAACAUAGCUGACAACACCCGUCGUGGAGAUAAUCAGGGUGGUCGGGAGGUCAACCAGUACAGUUCGUUCAAGGACUUCAUGGAUACCAAGCCACCAAUCUUUAAGGAGGCCUUGGAACCGCUCGAAGCAGAUGAGUGGAUCAACACUAUGGAGCAGAAGUUUCGUCUUCUCCGAAUGACGGAAGAACUCAAGGCUGAGUAUGCGGCACAUCAGUUGCAAGGACCCGCUGGGAUUUGGUGGUCCCAUCACCGUACCACCUACCCAGAGGGGACACCAAUCACCUGGAACCGCUUCACCACCGCUUUCCGGGGAAAUUACAUUCCUCCUGGUGUGGUUGAAAUGAAGGUUGGGGAGUUCAUGAGGCUGUCCCAAGGGACGAAAUCUGUGAAAGAGUAUCUACAUGUCUUCAAUAAUCUCGCUCGCUAUGCCCCUGAGUUUGUGAACACGGAGGCCAAGAAGAUUGCUAGUUUCCAGAGGGGCUUGAAUCCAAAGAUGCUGAAGACCAUGGGUACAGGGGCCAGGGCUACUUUCAAUGCCUAUAUCAGUGACUGCCUGACCCAAGAGAACAAUAACAACAACUACAGUGCAUCCAAGUCACGUAAAAGGGCUUUUGAAGCAGGAUCAUCCCAGUCCAGGGCACCAGUGGCAGGGCGACAGCAGUAUCAUCCUCCUGCCCCGGGUGCUAGGUUCCGACCACCGCAGAGAAGGAACACCGGGCAUCCAACACAGCAGAAGCCGUACAAGGUGGCGAUAGCUCCUGCCAAGCCAAAGGCAAAUCAAGCUGCAGCACCUGCCGUCAACAAUGCGCCCAAGGGUCCGUGCUAUAACUGCCACAAGAUGGGGCACUUUGCUAAGGAAUGUCCCUACCCCAAGAGGCAGCAGCCAACAUAUCCAGCUCGUGUGCAUCAUACCUCGAUUGAGGAAAUCCCGGAAGGAGAACCGGUAACAGCUGGUAUGUUUUCUGUCAACCAACAUCUUGCAGUUGUUUUGUUUGAUUCUGGAUCGUCGCAUUCUUUCAUGAGUCAAGCAUUUGCACAAAAGCAUAAUCAACCAGUUACAGAUCUGGGCUAUGGCUACCGCAUCAGCUCAGCAGGGGCAGAUGUGUUGACCAAUAGAGUGGUCCGAGGGGCAACCCUGGAGAUAAGUGGCCGAGUCUUUCGGGUAAAUCUAGUGGUCAUGCCUGGGUUAGUUUUGGAUGUUAUCAUGGGCAUUAAAUGGAUGAGAGAAUGGGAUGCGGUCAUAGAUACUAGAAAGAGGAUGUUAUCUCUCAGAGAACCACAGGGCAGUAACUCUUUUCAAGUACCUCUGCCCCGUCGUCUUGACUUUGCUAGCAUCUCCUGUGCUACGCACGUGGUCCCUUUACCACAGAUCCCAGUGGUCUGUGAGUUCCCCGAUGUGUUUCCCGAGGAGUUACCAGGACUUCCCCCAGAUAGGGAGGUAGAGUUUGUAAUCGAGUUGAUACCAGGUACAGCACCAAUAUCUAGAAGGCCGUACCGGAUGCCACCAAACGAACUCGCAGAGUUGAAGAAACAACUGAAGGAGUUACUAGAAAAGGGGUUCAUCCGGCCCAGCUCGUCGGAAUGGGGUUGUCCAGCGUUGUUUGUGAAAAAGAAGGAUCAGUCGUUGCGCAUGUGCGUGGACUAUCGUCCACUCAAUGCAGUGACAAUCAAAAAUAAGUAUCCCUUGCCAAGGAUUGAUAUCCUGUUUGAUCAGUUAUCCAAGGCAAGAGUGUUCUCUAAGAUAGAUUUGAGAUCUGGGUAUCACCAAAUCAAGAUUCGUCCGCAAGAUAUCCCGAAGACUGCUUUUUCCACCAGAUAUGGGUUGUACGAGUAUCUUGUCAUGUCCUUUGGGUUGACAAAUGCUCCUGCAUACUUUAUGUAUCUGAUGAAUUCAGUCUUUAUGCCAGAAUUGGAUAAGUUUGUUGUGGUGUUUAUCGAUGAUAUUCUGGUAUAUUCAGAAAAUGAGCAAGAUCACGCCGAACAUCUGAGAAUCGUGCUGACACGAUUACGAGAGCAUCAGUUAUAUGCCAAGUUCAGCAAGUGUGAGUUCUGGUUGAAGAAAGUUCCGUUCCUAGGGCACAUUUUGUCUGAAGAAGGGAUUGCCGUAGAUCCAUCAAAAGUGCAGGAAGUCAUGGACUGGAAGGCACCAACUUCUGUCUCGGAAGUUAGAAGUUUUCUUGGUCUGGCCGGGUAUUAUCGUCGUUUCAUACCUGACUUCUCCAAGAUUGCUAAGCCAAUGACAAGUUUGCUACAAAAGGAUCAUAAGUUCGUCUGGACGGAAGGGUGUGAGUUAGCCUUCCGCGCCUUGCGAAAGUUGCUAACCACUGCUCCUGUUCUGGCACAACCUAAUAUAGAGAAGCCUUUUGAUGUGUUUUGUGACGCAUCGAAGAGUGGCCUGGGGUGUGUGUUGAUGCAAGAUGGCAGGGUGAUAGCUUAUGCUUCCCGACAGUUGAGAAAGCAUGAAGUCAACUAUCCAACGCACGACCUUGAGUUAGCAGCAGUGGUACAUGCUUUGAAGAUCUGGAGACAUUAUCUGCUAGGAAAUAAGUGUCACAUUUACACCGAUCACAAGAGUUUGAAGUACAUCUUCACUCAGUCCGAGCUGAAUAUGAGGCAACGACGAUGGUUAGAGCUAAUCAAGGAUUAUGACCUGGAAGUUCACUAUCAUCCAGGCAAAGCUAAUGUGGUCGCAGAUGCUUUGAGUCGCAAACCGCACUAUCAAAUGGUUCAACCGUUGUUUGAAGAUGGGUUCAAUCUUAUGCAUCCUGAGGUCUUAUGUCAUAUACAACUCAGUUGUUCACUCGAGAGUCAAGUCAUUGAAGGUCAGAAAACAGACAAGGGUAUUUUCCACAUCAAAGAGAAGAUCAAAGAUGACCCAAAGACUCAGUUUCGGGUUGAUGAGAAGGGGGUACUGUGGUUUCAACAGCGGUUAGUGGUCCCGAAAGAUCGGGAGUUGAAGAAUCGCAUCAUGGAUGAAGCCCAUCUCUCUAAGCUUUCUAUUCAUCCUGGCAGCAGCAAAAUGUAUCAAGAUCUAAGGCCCCACUUUUGGUGGACCAAGAUGAAGAAAGAAAUAGCCGCUUAUGUGGCCCGUUGUGACACGUGUUGCAGAGUUAAAGCCAUCCAUAUGAAACCUGCAGGUCUGUUACAACCGUUAUCAGUUCCGGAGUGGAAAUGGGAAGAGGUCAGUAUGGACUUUAUCACCGGCUUACCGACAACCAGGAAGGGGAAUGACUCGAUUUGGGUAAUCAUAGAUCGAUUAACCAAGUCGGCUCAUUUCAUUCCAGUCAAGAACACAUACAGACCUCCCGAGUAUGCUGAUAUAUAUAUGGCUGAGAUCGUCAAAUUGCAUGGUAUUCCCAAAACUAUCAUAUCGGAUAGAGGACCGCAGUUCACUGCUCACUUCUGGGAGCGCAUGCAUAAGAGCUUGGGGACCAGUCUGAUAAGAAGCACGGCGUAUCAUCCCCAGACUUCAGGUCAAACCGAGAGGCUAAAUCAAGUGUUAGAAGAUAUGCUAAGAGCCUGUGUGCUAUCAUCCAGGGGAUCGUGGGAAUCAUGGUUACCUCUGGCUGAGUUCUCAUACAAUAAUAGUUAUCAAGAGAGCAUCAAGAUGGCCCCGUUCGAAGCUUUGUAUGGGCGGAGAUGUCGAACUCCGUUAAACUGGGUGGAACCUGGCGAAAGGAGAUACUAUGGUAUCGACUUUGUGAAUGAUGCCGAGAAAAAGGUGCAGAUUAUACAACAACAUAUGCAAGCAGCACAGUCACGACAGAAGAGUUAUGCUGAUAAGAGAAGAAGGCCACUUGAAUUCAACAUAGGUGACUAUGUGUACCUCAAGGUUACGCCAAUGAAGAAAGUUCAACGUUUCCGAGUUCGAAGCAAGCUUGCACCCAGAUAUGUGGGACCAUACCAAGUGCUAGAGAGGAAAGGCCCAGUGGCCUAUAAGAUUCAGUUACCUGAAGAGAUGAGCUCGAUCUUUCCGGUCUUCCAUGUGUCGCAACUACGGAAAUGUUUGAAAGUGCCUGAGCAAAGAAUUGAACCCCGAGGGAUCAAAAUAAAAGCAGACUUAGAGUAUAAAGAGCAGCCAGUGGGAAUCGUGGAUACCAAGGAGCGAGUAACCCGAAACAGAAUUGUCAGAACAUAUAAGGUGGUGUGGAGUCAUCAUGACGAUAGGGAUGCCACCUGGGAAACAGAGGAUUACUUAAAAAUAGUUUACCCAAAGUUUCAUAAGAAAUGGUUAGUAACCCAAAAUCUCGGGACGAGAUUUCCCUAAGGGGGGAAGGGCUGUAACACCCUAGGUGUUAAGCAUGCACUUAGUCUCACCAAAGUCAUGCAUAAGCAUUUCCAUCAAGCAUAAGCAUCAUGAGCAUGACACUCUUUUCAAAUUAUGAUUUUAUGUGCUUCAUUUCAUGUGCUUUAAUUAUGUUAAAAAUGUGAUGCUUGUUUCUAAAAUUGUGAAAUAUUCAAAUUAGGUUGCUUUAUGUGUAAGAAGAAUUAAGAAUAUUUUUGUGCAAUUUUUGGAGCUAUGGAAUUUGAGAAAUGGAGUUUAUACAAACUUUUCCAAAAUGAAUUUAUUUAAAACCUAGAGCUGAGUUUUAACUUGUAAUUCAAAUUUUGUUUGGAAUUUGGUCUUGCUUGUCAAAGCAAAGUUGUAGAGUUUUUAAUUUGGAACAACUUUGUUUUUGGGAGCAAGAGGUGAAAAUGAUUUUAAAUUGGUCCAAAUAAAUUUAGAAAGAAUUUGGAGAAAAGAAAUUCAAAAAAAAAAGAGAAAGGGGCAGGCCUCCAACCCCCCCUGGUCGGGACGCCGGCGCAGGCUCCCAGACCAUUUCGCCCGUUCUGUCCCCCGCGCCCUCCUUCUCCUUCCUCCUCCGCUCGCACCGCGCCGCAGCAGCCGCUCCUCCGCGCGCCAUUGCCGGAGAGAGCUCCGCCGCUCGUCGCCGGCCACACCAGAGCCUCAAGCUCGACGCCGAGAGCACCAGGGCACUCGCCGUCGCUAGGGUAAGCUCGUGCGAACGUUCUACCGAGGUGAGAGUCCGUCGAGCGCCGUGAAUCGCUCGCCGGAGUUACCCCGAGCUCGCCGGAGUACUCCGCCGCGGCGGAUCUAGCGUUUCCCUACGUCUUUUCGCUCGUUCUCUGUUGCGCUAGGUCGCUAGGAAGGUGAGGAAGCUCGGAGAGGCGUUUGCGCACGCUCUACCGCGCCGGAGCAGCCUGGCCACGGCGAGCAGCGCCGCCGUGCCGCCAUGCAUGCUCGCCGGAGGUGUUCCGGCCGCCCUCUGGUCGAUCCAAGGGUACCGUUGGGUGCGUCUUGCUGCGGGGAGCACGUUGGUGCUCACCCCGUGGCCGGAGACCUCACCGCCGGCGAGAUCCGCUCGUCGGAGGUGAGCUCCCUCUCGGUCUCGCUGACUGGUGGGGUCGGGGACCCACUGUCAGUCGCAGGGGUACCCCGGUGGGUGUAGAUCUGGGUGUGCGUAGCGUUUUUCGUCGGUUUUCUUGAAAAAGUGUUUUCCAGAAAUUGAUUUAAAGUUUGUAAAAUCUAUAUCUUGAGUUCUACAGCUCCAAAUUGAAUGAAAUAAAUUUUGGUGUGCUCUAUAUUUCCAGAUCUACAGUUUGAUGUAAUUGCAUGUCAUGUUGGAGCAACUUUUCUGUGUGAAUAUAUUUUAUCCAUGAUUUUGUUAAACUUGGAAAAUGCAUAGUAAAUGAAAUAUGGCUCAGAAAAAUGUGAAACUUGUUUUGCUGGCUCUGCAUGUGUGUUUAAUCACUGAGAAAAUAUUGUUACAUAUUAUUUGGUGUAUAAAUGAAUUUAUGGUAAUUUAAAUGCUUGCAUGGCAGUGCUUUAUGAUUUUUAAUAAUUAAAUGGGUCAUGCAAUAAAUCUGGAAAAAUUUGUGGGUAUUUCUUAUGAUAUUAGAUAAAUUGUAAAAAUAUGAAAUCUGUUGUUUGACACUUAUAUCACAGUAGGGUGAUUAUACUUGCCUUAUCCAUUAAUCUUGUGAUUUUUGUGGCUCAAAAUAAGUAACCAAAAAUUAUGAAAAAUUUAUAGUAGACUUUAUGAUUAGCUAGUAGUCUCCUGUAAUUUUUCUGGAAUUUAUUGAUGAACAGAAUUGCAUGUGAUUUUUAAUGGGCUUAGAAAUGAAUAAAGAAAAUUAUGAAUGGUUGUGUAUGUGGGUUGAAUGGACUAAGUUGGGUUUGGUGUAUCUUUGAAGCAUCAUGUAGGUUGCUGAUUUCAUUUGAAAAAUAAUUAUAGAAGAGAAUGUAAUAGAUGUUUGGUUCAAUUGUUUAUUCUUGGAUGAUGUUGACUACCUUGUAAUAAGCAUGACCAAGUGCAUUACCUAUGCAUCAUAACAUGACUCCUUUGGUACUCCCUCAUGUAAGCAUCCACUCGGGCAUCUCGCACUCCACUCAUGAGCAUGUAUGCAUCAUACAGGCUCGCAGGAGAACGAGGUGGGAACCGAGGAACCCGACGAGCUUCAGGAGCAGGAACCUCCGGAAGCACAGGAACCCGGAGAGGAAUUGCAGGAGUGUCCGGAUCACCGACCCAGCACGUUUGAGAAAGGCAAGCCCCGGAGCAUUCUAAGUCUCCCUAUUCUCGCUAACUUAUAUAAAGUGCUAUACUUGUUCUACUGUAUUGCAUAUUAAGUGAUAGGAGUUGCCUGAUACCGUUGCUGCAUGAGUACUCCUUGUUAUUACUACUCAUUCAACUACCUUGUCCUAUGUAGAUAGGCACGGAGUCUAUGCUUAGCUUGCUUAGUUCGGUAGAAGUCGGGUGAUUCCCUGUCACCUGCGAGAUAUAGGUGGAUACCUGCUUGAUUAAGCAUUGGUUGCUCGGGGAAAAGAAUAACCAAGUGUGGAACGAAUUUGGAGACCGGGCGGGGUCUUAUGGUGGGUUGACCAUGGUGCCCCUGCCUGUGUCGAUUAAGGACCGAUCGUUGACGGCCCUCUUGUCAUGUUGAACGCAUGCCCCACACUUAGCUGGAAGGAUAAGUCGUUCCGACCGCGAAGCCUGAACACUAUCCGGGCCGGGAAUCGAGCCGCCAUGCGCUGUAUUGGUGAUGGUUGAGGAGAACGACGAGGGCGCGGCGCGCAACCUUGGUAUACCUUGGAUACCUCGGUCGCCGGAACGGUCCUCGGGUACUGGCGGUGCCUGCCGAACCCGCGAAUUGGUCCUGGAUAGUGUAAUACGGUGAUCUGUAGCUCACUUGAUCAGUGAGUGUGGUUUGUGUGGGGAAUACCUCGCCAGCUGGUUAGAAAUCGAUUCGAAUUGCCAUCGCUCCUGGAUAGUGAGCACUUGACAUGAGCUUCGUCCUCGUAGUAAGGACUAUGGAACACUUGGGUUAUAAUGAAACGGGUUUAUGACUGCUGUGAUGAGGUACUAUCAUAGUCUCAUACUUGCUUGUAAUAGCACUGGAGCAAACCUAGAUAAUAGAUAAUGAUACUUUCAACUUGAGCAGAUUAAAAGAAGAAAAGAUUUAUGUAGGUUUGGGUAAUAAAACCUUGCGGUCUUUGCAAAAUGGUUGUCAGCUACCCCACCAAAUAGCCUUCAUGAUCCUUGAUGAGUCUUUAUUUUAAGUUUAUGACGGGUAAGUCUAGCUGAGUACCUUCUCGUACUCAGGGUUCUAUUCCCAUGUUGUUUUGCAGAUGGUCAAAUGUACUAUGGUUAUUGCAUCCUCUGUCUGUACCCAGCUAUGGGUGAUGACUAGACCAAGGGCGAUGGUCACUCCGUCUCUUCUUUUGCUUUUGUGGGAAUGACCGAACUAUGGCACUGUAUCAGACUUAUCGUGUGUGUUGUAAUUUCAAACUAUGAAGCUUCCGCUACUUGAAGAACUUGGUUUGUAAUAACUUUAAGCACUCCGAUGUAUUUUAUGAAUGUUGUAAUCUGGAUGUGCUUGUGGAUGGCGACCGCUAAACUUAUUACGAUCUUGGCUGUAUAUGUGAUGUGUGGUUUGAAAUCCUUCGAGAUUUCACGGACUACCGGGAUUAUAUGGGCUUAAGCGUGAUAGUUCGACUACGCAAAUGGUCACUAUUAGGCUUAAUCUCUUAUAAUUUGGUCGGUUCUGUUACACCAUCAACCAGAUGCCUUCCGAUAAGGCGCUCGGUCCGGAUGGCUUUACGGGCCUUUUUUUCAAAGAAUGUUGGGACAUUAUUAAGGUGGAUGUCAUGAACACAGCCAAUGCUUUCCAUUAGCUGCGCACCUCCAAUUUAGCCAUUCUCAACACAGCGAAUGAGGCGGUCUCAGACUUUAGACCCAUAAGCUUAAUUCACUCCUUCGCAAAGAUCAUCACAAAGGUCAUGGCAAUGCGCCUAGCGCCCCACAUGAACAGAUUGAUCUCCAAGAGUCAGAGUGCCUUCAUUAAAAAAAAGAAGCAUCCACGACAACUUCAUGUAAGUUCGAUGUGUCGUGCGUCGAUUCCAUAGAGCCAAGACCUCUGCCCUGUUUUUCAAGCUUGACAUUUCAAAAGCUUUUGACUCGGUCCACUGGGAGUACCUACUCACUCUAAUGAGCAAGCUCGGCUUCCCCCAAAAAUGGAGGGAGUGGAUGGCUGCCCUAUUAUCAACGUCAUCUUCUCGAAUCCUUCUAAAUGGUGUCCCCCAAUGCGCCUAUUAAACACGGCAGAGGAGAUUGCCAGGGGGAUCCUCUGUCACCGUUGCUUUUUGUCAUUGUGAUCGACCCUUUGCAGAAGAUCCUUGACCUUGCAACAGAAGAAGGACUUUUGAAAAAAUUCAAGGGGAAACAUUCUUUAAUGCGGACAUCCAUGUAUGCAGAUGACACGACAAUCUUCAUCAAAGCCAAAUAAGAAGGAUGUCACUGCAAUCGCCGAUAUUCUCACCAAGUUUGGUGAAGUAACAGGUUUCAAAACAAAAUUUGGGAAGUCGUCUGUCAUCCCCAUAAGAUGUCAAGGUGUUGAUCUUGAUGAGGUACUAUGUGCUUUCCCUGCUAGACGAGCGCACUUCCCAACUAAAUACCUAGGUCUACUCUUAUCAAACACCAGACUACGGAGGAUCGAUUUUCAGCCUCUUAUUAAUAAAGCUGUGAGUAAGCUCACUGUAUGGAAUGGCAAAAAUAUUAAUCAUGCAGGAAUGUCCACUUUGGUCAAAGCGGUACUCACCUCACAAUCGGUGUAUUGCCUAACAUCACUAACAGCUCCUAAAUCCACACUGAAGGAAAUUGACAACCUAAGAAAGAGCUUCCUCUGGGCUGGGUCCGAGAAGCUAACCGGAGGAAAAUGCAAAGUGAAUUGGCCACACUCCAUAAGGCCAAGUGAUUCUGGGGGUCUAGGCAUUCUUCAUCUCGGAAAAUUUGCAAGAGCACUACGUCUUCGAUGGCUAUGGAAAGAUUGGGAGGGAGAAGGAACAAUCCUGAACAACCCAGACUUGCCAUGUGACGUUACCGGUAGGCUACUUUUCGCUACAGCAACUUCAAUCACAAUUGGUGAUGACAUGAGAGCUUUCUGGAGCAGCGCAUGGCUGCAAGGCCAGAGGCCGCAAGAUAUAGCACCAAAUAUUUUUCAGAUCUCAAAAAACAAAAACAAGUCAAUCUACGAGGGCAUGCAAAAUAAAGCGUGGAUUAGGGACAUAGAUAUGCGACAUACAAGCUUCAGCCCCCAACACUUCAUGGAAAAUGUCCAGCUUUGGAACGCUCUCAGCCACAUCGAGCUACAUCCGGACCGGGAGGACAACAUUGUUUGGAAAUUUAACCUGAAUGGAAAAUUCACAACGGGAUCGGCCUACCAUGCACAAUUCAUUGGAGCAACAGUGACAAAUUUCAAUUGCCUCAUCUAGAAAGUUUGGGCACCACCAAAGUGUAAAUUUUUUGCAUGGCUAGCCAUCCAAAAUAGGAUAUGGACGGCGGAUAGGCUUCAAGCGCGUAGAUGGCCGAACAAUGGAGUGUGCGCCUUAUGCAGGCAUAGUCAAGAAUCUGGUGUCCAUCAAUUUCAAGACUGCCGCUAUAUAUACUAGGUGUAUCUGGGAGGGCAUUGCAAUAUGGUUGGGUAAUAAACAGCUGCGUCCUUCCGCCUAGGUGCCAGCAGACUCUGUACAAAGUUGAUGGGACAACAUGGAUCACACACCUUCGAUGGCAAGGCGAGGCCUUCGUUCGAUCAUCAUCCUCAUUUGUUGGGAGAUCUGGAAAGAAAAAAAUGCACGAAUCUUUGAGCACAAGGACUCUGUGACAGUGCAGCUCCUCCAGAAAAUCAAGGAUGAGGCAAGAGCACGUUUCUAACUUAUUUUUACACGUUUGAUGUAAACUGUUCUUAAGGCAAGGUUUUGGAGUUGUGGCCAUUUUUUUGGAACUUUUCUGUAUAUAUGGUUGUACAUCUAGGCUCCUUCUCUUUAAUACAAUAGGCAGCUCACCUGCCGGUUUUGUUUUAAAAAAUAUAGAGGGGGGAUGCCAUUUCCCAAGAACAAGGGCGCCACGAGUUUAUCGGUAGGUCAUGGCAAAAUGAAUGGCUAACAUACGGGCAUUGGGCUUAAUCCACUAAGGAAAUCGCUGGACACACCAGAUGCGUGUUUUGCAACCUUAUUGUCACAGCAUUCUCGAGAAACAUUUUUUAAAAUUUGGUUUAUUCUUAUUUUAGAUUUUCUGGUGCCAUUUUGCAAAUAAAGAAAAGGUCCAACUUCCUCCCACUAAGAUUGGCUAUGAUUAUUUGUAAAUUAAUUUAUUUGCUCUAUCGAACCACGUGCUUCAUCAGGAGGCAGAAAACUAAGAUACUAAUAUAUUCCCUUUUAAAAAAAGAAAUUCCUCCAUCCUAAAUUAAAUUAACUUUCUAAGUUAUAUUAAAUCAAGCUAAUUUAAUUUUAAUCAAAUUUAAUGUGGUACCAAUAUUAAUAAUGCUGAAUUAUUAGUAUAAAUAGAGCUGCACUCGUUGAACCAACAUGUCAAGCUCUGAUCUCUUUUGCAAUGGGCUGAAUGUGCUCAAAUGAAAGAGCCCUAACUUAGAGUUGGUCUAAUCUAAAUCCAGUUUUACGCAAUGAUGAGAAACAUCAUAAAUUGUGCUGUAGCAAACAAAAUAUACUAUCAUAGUGCAACAUUAACCCACCGCCUAUCAUUUUGCUUUUGAGCCAAGCCACGCAUGAAACCAUCAAGACAUGUACAUCGAGUCAGACCGGGGGCUCCGGUUUCACAUCGCACGUCCGAUUUCCGAAACAUCGCGGCGCGCCAACCCAAUCCAUUCAGAAUCAGGCAGCAAUCAGCCUCCGAAAAAAAAAAAGCAUCACGUGUUGAUCGUGCCAGAAUUAAAGGUGAGAACCCAAAACCACGGUUUCACACGGCACGCACCGCGCGGAUUCCGUCGUUCCCACUCCCAUCCGCCUUCCGUCCGCCUACAUAUAAAAAUCUCCUCCCCUCCCGAGUCCAUCGCCAUCCCCCGAAACCAUCCGUCACAUAUACAACUCCUCCAUCCCAAUUCCCAUUCCCAGGCGCAGCGCGACAAGAAGAAGAUCAAGCAGCAGCAGCAAAAGCUAGCGGCAAGGCAAGGAGAUCAAGAGAAAUGGCAACGGCGGCGGGGAGCAUCCAGCAGGGCCACGGCGCCCGGUUCGCGGCGGCGUGCGACGUGCUGAGCCGGUACGUGAAAGCGGCAGCGGCAGCGACGACGACGACGCCGGUGGAGCAGCCGCGGCCGUUGCCAGGCACGGUAGUAGGGGUGGUACUCCCUCUGAUGCCCGGCGCGGACCUGUCCACGCAAGCAGAGGAGCUGGCCGAGGCGGCGGAUCAAGCGGGGCCGGCGCCGAGAGCGCAGCAGCUGAUGACCAUCUCGUACGGCGGGCGUGUGGUGGUGCUCGACGACGUCCCCGCGGACACGGCCGCCGAGCUGCUCCGGCUCGCGGCCGCCGCCGCCGCGCCGCGGGUGCUGCGAGCGCCGGAUGAUCUGCCCAUGGCGAGGAAGGCGUCGCUCCGGCACUUCAUGGAGAAGCGCAAGGGCCGGGUCGCCAAGCGCGCUUCGCCCUACAGCCGUCCGGGUGAUGCUGGAGCCGCCGCGGCGUCGUCGUUCCCGGACCAUCUCGCCCUCUCGCUCUGAGACAAUACUAGUACAUACAGUACAGUUUGUACUACCCCUAUACUCUAGUAGGUGUUUGUUGAUUGUACAGGCCGGGGAAAAACUCUACUAUUUCAGUUCUGAGGCUUUGUUUAGAUCUGUAGCACUUUCAUUUUUAUUUGAUAAAUAUUGUUCAGUUAUAGAGUAACUAGACUUAAAAAGAUUAGUCUUGCAAUUUACAGACUGUGGGGGUAUAAACCCCUAUACCCUUACGGCUACACUUGGGCCAGGAGGCUUGACCCAUUACGAGACAAGUUCGAGGCUUGAUCCGACAGCUCGGAGUUUCACGCAAGGGAACAAGACGUGGAGAUCAAGCAAGAUUCUAGUCGGUUAAAAUAGGAAUUGAUACCGAACUAUUUAUGGCAAUCGUAACCGACUAGGAUUAGUUUCCAGAUCUGUAACCCUGCCUUCCGGACUAUAUAAGGAGAGGCAAGGGACCCCCCUAGGACAUCAUUAUUCUCUCAACACAAAUCAAUACAACCAGACGCAGGACGUAGUUAUUACGCAAACUCGACGGCCGAACCUGGAUAAAAAGCUUGUCCGUGUCUUGCGUCACCAUCGAGUUCGUAGUUUGCGCACCGUCUACCGAUAAACUACUACCGUGGGUAUACCCCAAGGUAGACUGCCGACUAGCUUUCGUCGACAGUGGCGCGCCAGGUAGGGGGUGUGCAUGCAACUUCUCCGGCGAACAAGAUGGUCACAAUCCCAGCUUCCGCGGCCGUUUCUGAAGGCCUCACGUUCACCAUCGGCCAGAUCACGUGGACGACGCGCGGCGGUGGUCUCACCAACACGGUUUCGGAAGGAACCCAGAUCCAGUCUGGGAUCACGUCGGCUCCGACCACUCGGGUGACGGCUUCGAGCGCCCGACCACCGCCCCCGCUCUACAAGGGGAGGAAGAUCGACUGCUCUGACCUUCUCCAAGCACUUGACCGCGCCGAUUCCAAGCUACUUGAAGCUUCCCAACUAGUAGACGGAAUCUUGCGACAGCCCGAUCAAGCCGCCCCAACGGAUUUUUUCAAAUCCCACCGGCCAACUCGUGUCGUUACACACGAACGGACGGGAACGUCUCUGACGAUAAGCUCGACUCCCUCAGGACGAUCUGUCAAGACCAAGGUCAACCCGGAGGAAGAUUAUCCGCGCGGUCUGAACAACUCGGCUUCUCUCUACUCGAGACACGUCCGAUCCCUCUUUAACAAAGCUGGUUGGUUGCCAAAGGCGAGCAGUCGACCAGCUCGUCAUUACGUCAACAUGGUGACGAUCCAAGAGCUACGGGACGGCCAGGCUUCCAGCACAAAUUCGAGCACUGGUUCCGUCCCCACUGAAGUCAUAAAUUCCGAGGACGAGGACUACGACUUAGAUUUCCCGUCACACCCUCCGGGCUUCCCUCGUUUCCCGAUCUUCCCACCACGGCGUGGAGACAUCGUUUUCAACGUCAGCGCCGACGAGCCGGUCGUUGACGGAGAAAUAGACGAGCAGAGGCAGCUCCGCGAGCAGCGUAACGCCGAUCGCGCCUGACGACGCGCGGACGAGGAACGUCAAAUCCCGCCGCAUAAUCUCAGCGACGCUUUUGACAUGGUCGGAGAUCAGCAAGUCUAUAAAACUCCCAGCGCCAAUGUGGCCGUCGCUAUGGCUAAUCUAGACCGGCUCCCCGAUACCCCUGAGUGCCAAGGGGUCCGAACCAGCGUCCGAGCACACCUGAUCGCCGCAAUGGGACAGACAGCCACUCUGCUCAAAAGAGUCCAGGCCGUCUCCUAUACAGAAGCCACCUCCGACCAGACUCACCGUAGCCGGACCUCACCGCAGCCCAACAGGCACCACCACAACCGUUCCCCCGACAACCAUCGAACAGAUUCACGGCGUAACGACGGCGGUCGGGAAGCUGGCGGUCACCGCGAGCAGAAUCGUAGGCGUGGUCAAGAAGUAAACCAGCACAGGGAUCUUCGGUAUAACAUCCCUCCCAAAGACGCCCGGGACCGCAUCAACAGGCGCGCCACGGAGAGAGCAGUCCACGAAAACCUGCGUCGUAUCGAGUAUGAUGCAACGCAUGGCCCUCCGGGCCUGAGACAGUUCUCCUCACACCUCCGCCAGGUCGUGUGGCCCCGCAAUUUCAAGCUCGAGAAACUCAAAAAAUACGACGGCAAGGAAAAUCCAGAGAACUGGAUCACUCUCUACGAAAUCGCCGUCCGAUCAGCAGCAGGAGACGAGCACGUCAUGGCCAACUACUUCCUAGUAGUCCUUGACCAGGCUGGUCAUCAGUGGCUCCUCGGCCUGCCCGAGGACUCCUUCGAUUCUUGGGAAGAGCUACGCCAGGCUUUCAUCGACAACUUCAUCGCCACAUGCGAGCAUCCUGGAAACAAGUACGACCUCGAAAGGAUAAGGGACAGGAAAAAUGAACCUUUGCGCGAUUACAUCCGACGAUUCUCGGAUAUGCGCCUCAAGAUCCCGAAGAUUUCCCACGACGAGGCCAUCUCUGCCUUCAUCAAAGGCCUACGUUUCCACGAGGCACUGAGAAACAAGCUGUUGCGCAAAAGGCCAACAACGAUGGCUGAGCUCCUUGCCACGGCUAAAAAUUACGCCAAUGCCGACGACGCAGAAAAACUAAUCCGGGACGAUGCGAGAGGUCCCGACCAGCCCCCUCGGCGAGAUGACAGUUGUGGUCGUUUCGACAACAGGAACCACCACCGCCGCGACAACCGUGAUCAAAGAGAAGGCUGGGACAGGCGGCGCGACAAUCGCAACGAUUUCAGAGGAAAGCGCCCCCGUGAACACGACCACGAAGUGAAUACGGUCAAGCGUCCCAACGGGCGGCGGGACUACCAAGAAGACUACAACAAAACGCUGAAGGGACCGUGCCAGCUGCACCCAAAGUCCAAUCAUACCAUGGAAGAGUGUCGCGUCCUCAAAAACAUCUAUACGCGGCGGGCCGCCCAAGACGACUCUGCCAAGAAAAAUGGAAAACGAGACGGGCACGACCACGAAGACGAGGACGAGGACCAAGAUAGGGACCGACGACACCAAUAUGUCAGUCCCACCGACGUGGUCCACUCCAUCUUCGGGGGCAAGGUCUCCAUCGAAUCUAAGCAUGAAAGAAAGCUAUUAAAAAGAGCCUGCCUCAACAUAGACAGCACGGACGGCCUGAUCGCAGACCCGAAAUUUCCCCCGUGGUCGCACAGGGAGAUCUCCUUCAGCAGGAAGGAUCAGUGGGCCGCUAUCCCAGAGCCAGGUCGUUUCCCUCUAAUCCUGGACCCUUGCAUCAACAGCAUCAGAUUCGAGCGCGUGCUCGUGGAUGGAGGAAGCUCCAUUGACAUCCUCUUCCGCAACAGCCUGCCCGCUCUCAAGAUAUCUCCGGCACAACUAAAACCCUACGAUGCUCAAUUCUGGGGAGUCUUGCCAAGUCAGAGUUCAGUGCCCCUCGGACAGAUAACAUUGCCUGUCCAAUUCGGCACGCCCGACCACUUUCGAACAGAGUUCGUCAACUUCGUGGUCGCUGACUUCGAUGGGACCUACCACGCCAUACUAGGCCGACCAUCGCUGACAAAAUUCAUGGCGGUCCCACACUACUCAUACCUGGUCCUCAAAAUGCCUACGGAGAAGGGCGUCCUGACCGUCAGAGGCAAUGUUUACACCGCAUAUACUUGCAAGGAAGAGAGCUUCAAGAUCACCGAAGCGAUUGAUCUCUCGAUCCGGAUGGCAGAAACAGCAACCCAAGCCGCACAGCUACCUCCCGACCAGCUCCGACUACCCGAGCAGGAGACCGCCAGGAAGAAUUCAAAAUCCAAGGAGCAUAAAGAAGUGCAACUGGUCGAUGGCAGCCCCGAGAAGACAGCCCUCAUCGGGGCCAACCUGGACCCCAAAUAGGAAGACGCGCUCGUCAGGUUUCUAAGGGACAACGUGAGCGUUUUCGCAUGGAAACCCGCAGACAUGCCCGGCGUCCCGCGAAACCUGAUUGAGCACUCCUUAAACGUCUCGAAGACCGCAAGACCAAUCAAGAAAAAGUUGCGACGGUUCGCUCGUGACAAAAAGGAGGCUAUUAGGACAGAAAUAACACGGCUUCUAGCAGCCGGAUUCAUAAAAGAAGUGUAUCAUCCCGAUUGGCUCGCCAAUCCGGUCCUUGUACGCAAAAAGAAUAAUGAAUGGAGAAUGUGUGUUGAUUACACUGAUCUCAAUAAACACUGUCCUAAAGAUCCUUUUGGUCUCCCUCGCAUCGACGAGGUGGUCGACUCAACGGCCGGAUGCGAACUCCUCUCUUUUCUAGACUGCUACUCUGGUUAUCACCAGAUCUCGCUAAAGGAAGAAGACCAGAUAAAAACGUCUUUCAUUACUCCUUUCGGCGCAUACUGCUACACGACCAUGUCGUUCGAACUCAAAAACGCCGGAGCCACCUAUCAAAGGGCCAUCCAGCAAUGCCUCCACGACGAGAUCCGCGAUGACCUCGUCGAGGCCUAUGUAGAUGACGUCAUCGUCAAAACAAGGGAUGCAAGCACCCUAAUCGACAACUUAGACCGAACCUUUAAGGCGCUAAACAAGUACAAGUGGAAGCUUAACCCCAAAAAGUGCAUCUUUGGCGUCCCUUCCGGUCUACUGCUCGGCAACGUCGUCAGCCGCGACGGCAUACGACCGAAUCCUUCAAAAGUAAAAGCAGUACUCGACAUGCGACCACCUAAAAAUGUCAAGGAUAUUCAGAAGCUUACCGGAUGUAUGGCCGCACUCAGCCGCUUCAUCUCAAGACUAGGGGAAAAAGGCCUCCCUUUCUUCAAACACUUGAAGGCAUCGGAAAAAUUUUCUUGGACAGAGGAAGCCAACGCUGCGUUCACCUAGCUUAAGACUUUCCUCACUUCCCCACCCGUUCUUACAGCGCCUCAGCCCAAUGAAGGCCUACUCCUUUACAUUGCUGCAACCGACAGGGUUGUUUCCACAGCAAUAGUGGUCGAGCGGGACGAGCCAGGACAUGUUUACAAGGUCCAGCGACCCGUUUACUUCAUAAGCGAAGUCUUAAACGAAUCCAAGGCAAGAUAUCCACCAAUACAGAAACUCAUAUACGCCAUUCUAAUAACAUCGAGAAAGCUAAAGCACUACUUCGACGGCCAUCGAGUCUUGGUAACCACCAGUUUCCCUCUCGGGGAUAUUCUGCGCAACAAAGACGCAAACGGCAGAAUUGUAAAGUGGGCAAUGGAGUUAUGCUCGUUCUCUCUGGAAUUCCAGAGUCGCACCACAAUCAAGUCUCAAGCCCUCGUUGAUUUCAUUGCAGAAUGGACAGACCUUAACGAAACUCCCGUUCCCGACGUCUCCGAUCACUGGUCGAUGUUUUUCGACGGGUCCUUGAACAUCAACGGUGCCGGCGCUGGGAUACUAUUUGUGUCGCCUAACAAGGACAAGCUGCGUUACGUCCUUAGGAUCCUCUUUUCGGCAUCCAACAACGUCGCCGAGUACGAAGCAUGCUUACACCGCAUCCGACUAGCCGUUGAGUUGGGAGUCAAACGCCUCUACGUCUAUGGCGACUCCGCUUUGGUCAUCAACCAGCUCAACAAAGAAUGGGACGCGACCCACGAAAAGAUGGAUCUCUACAGCAAUGAAAUUCGCAAGUGGGAGACCAACUUCUACGACAUAGAAUACAUCCACGUGGUCCGGGAUAAGAACCAAGCAGCAGAUGUGUUGUCAAAGUUAGGAUCAUCUCGGGCCCAGAUCCCGCGGGGUGUUUUCGUCCAGGACAUCCAUGAGCCAAGUGUGGGCUCCACCCUGGUCGAAAAGCAACCUAUAGAAACAAUGCUCAUAAACGAUGGCACUCCGACAACCAGUGGUCGUGAUUGGCGCACCCCGUUCAUCAAGUACAUAUUGGACGGGUCAGGUUUUUAGGAUAAAGCAGAGAACGAGCGCCUCAUUCGACGAUCAAGGAAUUACAUACUGGUGGACGGCAAACUUAUGCAAAAAAAUGCAAGUUCUGAAGUGCUGCUCAAAUGCAUAUCCCAGGACGAUGGCAUCAAGCUCCUAGACGACAUACAUGCUGGAUCCUGCGGCAAUCAUGCUGCCUCCAGAACGCUGGUCGGGAAAGCUUUCCGAGCAGGUUUUUAUUGGCCAACCGCGGUCAACGACGCAGAAAAACUGGUCCGACAUUGUGAGGGAUGUCAGUUCUUCGCUAAAAGGACCCACGUACCCGCUCACGAGAUUCAAACUAUCCCGUCGUCCUGGCCUUUCGCCUGCUGGGGGCUCGACAUGAUCGGGCCAUUUAAACCGGCCCCUGGUAACUUCAAGUUCGUCUUCGUAUUAAUCGACAAGUUUUCAAAGUGGAUUGAAUACAUGCCACUGGUCAAAGCAACCUCCGAGAAGGCUGUGGAGUUCCUCAAUCAAAUCAUACACAGAUUCGGGAUCCCAAACAGUAUAAUCACCGACCUGGGUACUCAGUUCACUGGCACCACAUUUUGGGACUUCUGCGAUGACAGAGGCAUAGUCAUAAAAUACGUGUCAGUAGCUCACCCACGAGCAAAUGGCCAAGUUGAACGUGCAAACGGAAUGAUCAUUGACGCCCUAAAGAAAAGAUUGUACACCGAGAAUGACAGAGCACCUGGUCGAUGGAUGAAAGAGUUGCCGGUCGUGGUCUGGGGUCUCCGAACACAGGCUAGUCGGAACACCGGGGUGUCACCCUACUUCAUGGUUUACGGCACCGAGGCAGUGCUACCAUCUAAUAUAACCUUCGGAUCUCCAAGGAUCGAAAACUUCGACCAGUCAACGGCCGACAACACCAGGGAACUCGAAAUCAACUGCAUGGAAGAAAAGCGUCUAAAUUCGUGCCUCCAGCGCACUGGCAAGCUCUUGGCUGAGCUGCUCCUUCUCCUGCCGAAGGCGUGCGACCUCCUCCUCCAAACCUACAUGAAUAGUCCUCUGGUCAGCGAAGUCAACCAACGCGACUACAAACAGCUGACUCGGAGUGCGAGACUAACCUUCUCGCUGCCGAAACUGAUCGGCCAAGCGUCGGGUAAGCUCGAGAUGGUGCUCUUCCUGAGCGCUCAUCUCGGAAACUUUUUCUCCAACUUCCGACCGAAGCCGGUCCACCUCUGCGGCCAGGGCCUUGUUCUCGGCCACGAUGCCUUCUAUUUGGUCGAAGCACCGUUUCCGAUACUUCGUCGUUUUCAUUGCGCCCUGCAAAGCGAAUAUAUGUCGACCAAGCAAGACAACGCACGAAAAUGUCCAGCAGUGCAAAGAAUCACUUACCUUGACUUCGUCCACAAGACGUUUGGCCGCACGCUCCACUCUGGCGGCCUCUUCUGUCUCGGCGAGCUCCUCAUGCCCGAUAAAGUGGUCCUCGCGUUGGCGCCACACAUAUACGUGUUGGCGGCCAUCGCAGGGACGACCUUCAAUCUCCUCCACCUCGUCGUCGGAGGCCGCCUGGGUUUCCUCGCCCGCUGCAUCGCCACCGGUGGUGGUCGCAGGCAUUACAGGCCCCUGGACCAGCCCCGGGGAGCCUGCAGUCGAAGUGGCUCCUGCCCGGGGCGGCGUGGGGACCUCCCUCCCUUCGACGGGGGGAGGGGUCGGGGCUCUGCCCUCCUCUUCUGUGGCGUUACUCGGGGGAGGCAUCCCCGUAGCCUCCUCGACCCUUGUCGGGCUGCUCGCCGUAGGCUGUGCGGCGGCCGGGAGCUCCUCGGUGCUCUCAGGCACGGCUGCAGCCGCAAGCUGCUCCGCGGUCUGCGGCGCCGCGUCAUCAGCAGCACAAGCAGGCUCGACCACCCCCUGGCCGGCGAGGUGGUCGGGGUUGACAUCGACGCCGCGCUAAAACAGCAAAGUACUAUCAAAAAAAAAAUCGCCAAAAUACGUAAGUCGAACACUUACAGGUCUGAACGACGGUGGGUCGCGGUGAAUCUCCUCCUUGCCCGGCCGGUCGGCACCUGCGCCCCCAUCUCGACAACGCGCGGAGCAGGAGGGUCGCUGGCCACCCGAUCAGUAGUGGCCGGCGCACUGUCCGGGCGGCUACGAGGUCGUCGGACUAGCGACGGUGCGGCCUCCUCCUCCUCGUCGUCGUCGUCGGUGAUCCGGACGAGCCGACGACGCUUCGGCGCUUGGCUGCUCUCCGCUGGCAGCGUCGGCGCAGGCGAAGGAUCCGUCGCCAUUGGCCUUUUCCCCGCCACUCUAUCCUCGGUGGUCGGGACGGGUCGGGCCUGCUCCUCCUCACUGCUGGUGUACCGAGUACACCGAGCAGCGUCUUCCUCUGGCGGAUCUUCCCCCGCAGGAUUCUCCAUCCCGGGUGCCAGUGACACAUACACUGUACACCGGUCAACAUCUCCGAUCUGCAAAAGUAACAAAGACAAGUUGGCAACUGACAAUAGCACAUGCUAAGGAGAAAUAAGCAGUAAGAUACCUUAGGUGCUGGUCGCCCCAACUUGAAGGCUUGCACCCGAUCACUUCCACGGACGAAGCCUCCGUCCGCGAAGUUGAACAGCUCGUUCAACAACUGCUGCACCUCUGCCUUCUCCAAGACCUCAGGAUGCAUCCUGGUCGGGUCCAUGCUUCCAGCAUACUUGUACGCCGAAUGCACCCUCUUCUGGCAUGGCAUCACCCGACGACACACAAAAUUGCCGACCACGCCUAGCCCGUCCAAGCGCGACCAGUCGAUCAGCUUUAUAAGGUCUGCCACUUGACCGUCGAAAUCUGGGCGAUCGGUCCAUCUUACCCUCUUCUCGGGGAUGUAUCCCACGUCGCAGAAUGUGGAGCUACCCGGUUCCUCCCUGAUGUAGAACCACUUCCUGUACCAUUCGGUCAGGGAAGUGUUCCAUGGACAGUGCAGAUAGCGGUUCUUCAUCCCGUCGCGAAGGUUGAGGUAUACUCCACCUGCAACCUUGGAGCCUCCAACCGCUCCCUUCUUUCUUAGACAAAAAAGAUAGCGAAAGAGAUCGAAGUGCGGUUCUAUGCCAACAUAGGCCUCGCACAAAUGGAUAAAAGUAGAAAUAAGAAGGAUUGAGUUCGGGUGCAGAUUGCAAAUCCCGAUCUCAUAAUACAAAAGAAGACCUUGAAGAAAAGGAUGAACAGGCACCCCAAAACCCCGCUUAAGGAAAUCCUCGAACACGACGAUCUCACCGGCGCGGGGGUCGGGGUAGCUCUCUCCCUCCGGUGCCCUCCAGCCGCCGAGCUCCGGGCUGUGCAGUAGCCCCAUGUCGACGAGGUCACCGAGGGACUUUGCGGUGCUGCGGGAUUUCUUCCAUUCCUUGGCCAUCAGCUCGGCCCUCUUCUUCGACUCGCUCUUCGCCAUUGGAGGUGCGGAAGUGGAUUCGAGUUAGCAAGGUGCAGGAGAUUGAAGGAGGCAAGAGCGGAAGGUUUGAAGGCAAUGGCAGGGUAAGCAGUACAGGGGAAACUGUCGAGCUCUUAUAAACCACAACUCCACCCCUCCCACUUCCCGCAUUCUCGGGAAGUGGGCGGGCCAUACGGUGGACGCGAUGUUUCAGUUUUCAAUGAUUAUCGACAAUUAAUGCGGCGGAGUUUUCGUCCAAAUUGAUGGUUUCCUUUUCUCAAACCGCGCAAAGGGCGGCCGUACAGUUGCCAGGCGCAACUUUUCAAGCUCCCAUCUGACAUCCCGUCAGGAGGUCUCGUCACGGCAACUUUUUUGUGGAAAAGUUUUUUCAAAACAAGCAGACAAAAAUGGUAGAGAGUCAACAAUCCGAGGACUGCACUGACCACCGAGCACUUGAUGCUCGGGGACUGGUCGACCAGUCUAUCAACUCGGAACUUCAAAGACCGCACUGACCACCGAGCACUCGAUGCUCGGGGACUGGUCGCCCAGUCUAUCAACUCGGAACUUCAAAGACUGCACUGACCACCGAGCACUCGAUGCUCGGGGACUGGUCGCCCAGUCUAUCAACUCGGAACUUCAAAGACUGUACCGACCACCGAGCACUCGAUGCUCGGGGACUGGUCGUCCAGUAUAGCAACUCAAAACUUCAAGGACCGCACCGACCAACGAGCAAUUGGUGCUCGGGUACUGGUCGUCAGAUUUGUUGACUGCUCCGGACACCGAGCGCUUGAUGCUCGGGGACUGGUCGCUUAGUUUGUUAAUUUGGAAAUCAGCAAGCUGAACUGUUCGCUGACCAUUGUACACCCGGGGACUGAUUGACCAGCUCGUCGAAUUGCAAACUCUAUGGUAAAUGAGCAUGAGAUGCUCGAGGACUGGAUAAUUCCGGUUUUUUAGACCUUGCUAUAAGGUUCAUACUACGCCUUCCAGCAAGCUCGGGGACUACAUCGGUACGAUGCACAUCGGUACGAUGCAUCUAGCGAUGCAUCUCACAUUCAAAACAGCUUUGAAGAUUCUUCUUUGGAUCCUGGCACCACGUAACUACGUCACCUGCUACCAGGCUCGGGGACUAAGUGGGCACACUUCACCUUGCGGUGAACUUGCUUGUCUUUUUGAUGGACCGUACUUUUCAGGAAAGUAAAGUGGGCACACUUCACCAAAAAAGGAAUAUUUUUUCUCAAGAGCACCUUGCAUUCUUCGAACAAUUGGCUUCUUCGACGAUGAAGUUAAUUGGAUGCUUUAGGAUUUGUUCAAGCUGUUGACGCAACUAUUUGGGCAAUUUUCAUAAUGAUUAAAGAUAUUAAGUUUCAUUGGUCGAAGAAGCUCAAGACGGCGUGUUACUUCACAAUACAUGGUGCUCGGGGACUAGUUGUGGGGGUAUAAACCUCUAUACCCUUACGGCUAGACUUGGGCCAGGAGGCUUGGCCCAUUACGAGACAAGUUCGAGGCUUGAUCCGACAGCUCGGAGUUUCACGCAAGGGAACAAGACGUGGAGAUCAAGCAAGAUUCUAGUCGGUUAGAAUAGGAAUUGAUACCGAACUAUCUAUGGCAAUUGUAACCGACUAGGAUUAGUUUCCAGAUCUGUAACCCUGCCUUCCAGACUAUAUAAGGAGAGGCAAGGGACCCCCCUAGGACAUCAUUAUUCUCUCAACACAAAUCAAUACAGCCAGACGCAGGACGUAGGUAUUACGCCAACUCGGCGGCCGAACAUGGAUAAAAAGCUUGUCCGUGUCUUGCGUCACCAUCGAGUUCGUAGUUUGCGCACCGUCUACCGAUAAACUACUACCGUGGGUAUACCCCAAGGUAGACUGCCGACUAGCUUUCGUCGACACAGAAAAAUUGUACAAUUAGUUUUUAUUUUUAUCUAUAUUUAAUGCUUUGUGUAUACGCCGUACGAUUCGAUGUGACGAGAAAUCUUAAAAAGUUUUUUAAUUUUUUAGGUGAACUAAACAAGGAAUGGAGAACUACAAUUUCUUACUCUCUCGAGUGGAUCAAAGACUAGGUAAAAAAAACAAUACGUACACCGCUAGUAGUCGGUGCGGGAAGCUUCUUGUUGGUAUGGUGCGGAACACGAACACGGGAUGGCUGAUGAGUACAAGUAGGCCGUCGCUUUCGGCAACCACUGGAGCGUGUCGGAGCUUCCCGCUGCAGCUGCAUGCAUGCACCGGCCGCUUCUGGUUUACCGUUGAAUUUACUUUCGCACGGCGGUCGGCUGUCGGGCUGGCGGAGGUCAAAGUCGAUCGUGUGCCCCGCGGCCCGGCACAUCGCGUGGGCGUGGGCGUGGGCGUGGCAAGGCACCGCAGCAUGCAUCCUCAUUCUCCCCCUCCCCCUGCGUCCGCCGGAAAUCUUGCGGUCCGAAAGUUCGGACGAAAGACGCCGUCCGACGGUUGCCGCUCAAUCAUUCCCGCGCGCACGACGGGGCUGCCAGGUACAUACUUUUUUUUUAUUUCUUUCCUUUUUUGUUUUUUCUUUCCUUUUCUUUUCUUCUUCUUUUCUUUCCUUUUAUGUUUCUUUUAUUUUUCCCUCCCGAUCGUUGCUGUUAGUUUUCUUUUUUUUUUAUUCUUUUUUUUUCUUUCUUUUUCUUUUUCUUUUUAUUUAUUUAUUUCCUUUUCUUUUUUCUUUUCUUUUUUCUUUUUUCUUAUUUUAUUUUAUUUUAUUUUUCUUUAUCUUUUCAUUUUCCUUCCUGCCCGUUGUUGUUCCUAUUUGUUUUUUCUUGGUAUUUUUUCUUUUCUUUAUUUUGUUUUUUUCUUUUUCUUUUUUCCUAAUUCAUGUUUAUAGAUUCAAUUUAUUUUUACUUUUCUUUUAUGUUAUUUUAUAUUUUUAUCUUUCUUUUAUUUUUUUUCCUCUUUAUUUUUUUAUUCCUUUUUGUGCUUCAUUUUUCCCAUUCUUUUUUUCAUUUUUUAUUUCAUUCAUCUUUUUAUUUUUUUUUUGUUUCUUUUGGCAACACAUUAAUUUAGUGCUGGUUACAAAGGUGUUUAUUAGAUUAUUUUUUGUGGAAUACAUGCACGCAUGUGAUUGAAACGCUACAAACGUCUUGAUAUUGAUCCUAUGGUUGUUGUUUAAUUUUUUUAGUGGACUAAUAUCAUAGGAAGCGAGUGAUAUUAUUUUUUGUUUCUGUUUCAUUCAAUUUUCCAUAUUAUUUUUUAUUUUAUUUUUUAUUUACUAUCAUUAAUUAGUUUUAUUUAUUCUUUUUUAUUUCUUUUUUGUCUUUAUGUUUUUAUAGAUUUUUUUAUUUUUCUACUUUAUCUUACUUAAUUAUUUUUUAUAUUUACUUUUUUCUUUUCUAUAUUUCAUGAGAUGUGAUGUAAAAUGAUGUUUUUUGCAACGUUUAUGUGGUAUACAAUGCCAUGUUUUUUGAUGUUUUUUUAUGAUGUUUAUGUAGUAUAUGUAAUGUUCUAUGGUUUUCUAUGAUGUUCAUGUGUUAUACAUGUAAUGUUCUAUGAUAUUUUUUUUGAUAUUCGUGUGGUAUUUUUGUGAUGUUCUACCAUUUUUUUUGUGAUGUUCGUGUAAUAUAUAUCUGAUAAUGCAAUAUUCUAUAUUGUAUUUGGCGAUGUUCUAUAUUGCAUUUGGUGAUGUUCGAUGGUUCAUUUAUUGAUGUUCACUUAGUAUAUAUGAUGAUGUACAUAGUGAUAUUCACGUAAUAUAUAUGUGAUGUUCUAUAGUGUAUUUAAUGGUGUUCUAUAUUGUAUUUAGUGAUGUUCUAUGAUGUAUUUAGCGAUGUUCAUGUUAAUGUUCGAUAGUGAAUUUAGUGACGUUCAUUUAGUAUAGAUGUUUUUUGAUAUAUUUAGUGAUGUUCAGGUAAUAUAUAUAUGAUGUUCUAUAAUGUAUUUAGUAAUGUUCUAUGGUGUAUUUAGUGAUGUUCACUUAGUAUACAUGUGGUGUUCUAUGAUGUACUGAGUGAUGUUCAUGUAAUGUAUUUGUGAUGUUCUAUAAUAUAUUUAGUGAUAUUCCGUAAUGUAUUUAGUUAUGUUCACUUAACAUACAUGUGAUGUUUGCCUUUUAUUUUUUCCAUAUUCCAUUGUAUAUGGUAUACACAUGAUGAAUGAGAUACUGUAUGAUUAUCUUUAAGUAUUUUCACAACAUAUUAUGUAGUAUUCAUACAACAUGUUAUGUAGUAUUUUAUACAACAUGUUAUGUAGUUUUUUCCCAUGUUCCAUUUGUUAUAUUAUACACAUGAUGUUCUACUUGUGUAAUGUUAUUUAUUAUAUAAUUCUAUAUUUUUAUUUUAUUUAUUUAUCGGUAUUAUAAUACCAAUCAUUUAAGUGUGUUUUCAUAUGGAAUAUUGUUUUUUCUAAAUUUAAAAUAUUUUUUUGUGAAGGCGGAAUAUUGUUUUAUGAAUCUAGAACACCACCUUUAUUCAAUAAUAAAAGAAAAUAAUCUAUCUUUAUGAAAUACAUAUUCGUUAAUAAAACUUUAUCUGAAUAUAUUCAUGUUGAGAUCUUAUUUUGAAGCAUUUAGUAUAAGGAAUCCAAUAGUGCAAUCUGAAUUUAAUUUGGAUACUUGAUUUGCUAGCUAUAACGAAGAUGGAACAUCGUCUCUUAUGAAGAUGGAACAUUAUUUUUUUUAAUGAAGAUGGAACAUCGUCGCCAUGUUUAUAAUACCAAUACGGUUCUUAGAAUAUUUUAUUAUGAAGAUGGAACAUUAUUUUUUAAACCUUAAACAUCGUCUCAGCUCAAUACAAAAAUGUUCUAUCUUUAUAUGAUAAUUAUUCGUUAUUAAAAUUUUAUCUAAAUAUAUCCAUGUGAGAUCUUGUUUUGAAGUAUUUAUUACAAGAAAUCAAAUGGUGUCAUCGAAAUUUAAUUUGUAUAUUUUGUUUAAGAGUUAUGACUUUUUUUUAUUAAAAGUCAUUAUAUGCAUGCGUCGUAGCUAACAUGGAUAUGUUGCUGCACUAUCUCCUCGCACCAGCUGCGCAUGAUAAAGUCACGAGCCAAAAUUAAUUAUUAUGGGUGAGAAUAAAUACGUACCAGCACCGGCAUAGAAAAAGUACAUUAAAGGUCUAAUUUGUAAACAGUCUGAAAACGACGUGCGCUGCAGAGGUAAAUGUAAUUUUCGGCACUAAAACCAUUAUCAACUAAUUCAUUCAAUAGCAGUCAUUUAGAAAAUGUAUAGCUCGCUCUCAAAAGAAACAGUUUAAAAAAACAGUCAAAAUAAUUCGGUCAACAAACAGUUAAUAAGGUUCAUUAAAUAUAUAAUCUACGGUGCCAUUCGAUAUCCUACAGAAAAAAGAGGAAUCGUCGUGGUCCCUUAAACACGCGAGGCGGGAAUCGGGGCGCGGGAGUCUGCCGGACGACGCUUUCCGUCCGAACGGCCGGACCCGACGAGGCCCCUGCGUCCGCCGGCCGAACUAUGAUUUUUCUACAUGCAUCCUCAUACUCGUCGUCUUCUACAUGCUAUAACUUUUUCGUUUGAAUUUUUCUAUCAAAUUUAUAUAUUAUUUAAUAAUAUUUUUUAUAAUAAAUUAGUAAAUAAUAAUUUUAAAUAUAAUUUUUUAGUCAAGCUAGUAGUGCCUCGGAUCGAUUUUAUAUAUCAAACAGUAUAUAAAAGACACGUUCCUUCUUCCAUCAAUCAAUUGAAGAAGACACGAUCCUUUACCACGACCACGAACACUCGUUUUUUAAAAACAAAAUGUAACAUGUACGUCUAUACAUACAUCAAAUAUAUUUAGCAAAUUUCUAGCUCCAAAAGAUUCAAGAAUUUCUCAAAACUGAUUCUAAUAACUCUUCUAGCUAGAGGCAUUCCAAUGGCCAAAGGCAUAUGCAUCAAUAUGAAUCAUUUAUGUACUUAAACAUCUUUAAUUUAGAUUUGAAACUACAUAUAUACGUACGUCUAGCAUCAAUAUUCCUAAAUGAACCAAGCUGUAGGAAAAGAUAUGAUAGGGGAACUAGACUUGCUUUUCUUUUUGACUCACUCUGAUGGGAGAAAAAAAGAACUUGGGCCGGGAGCUUUGAAAAACGACGUCUUAUUCCAAGCUACUCCCUUCGUCCAAAAAAAUAAAUCUCACUUCACAAAGUGCCCAAGAAUUUUAAGUUUAACUAAGUUUAUAGAAGAUAUUAUCUACAUUUUGAUCUCCAGUUAGAGUUUUAUCACGUUAAAAGUUAUGUGCAUAAGUUAUGAGUAUAACUUUGUAAUUUCCUAAAAUGAAAGGUUAUAAUUUCUUUUCCAAAAAAUAAACAUAAAAAAAUUUAAGAUGAUAAGUUGUUCUGUAAAAUGUUAUGCGCAUAAUUUUGUAUAACAUGUAACUUUGUAACAAUGAAAAUUAUAGAAAUAUUUAUUCCAAAAAAAUAAAAGUUAUGAUGAAAAAAUUGUGAUGCAAAGAUUUAGUAAGAAGUUAUGCAUACCAGUCUUAUGUGUAAUUUUGUAACUUCCCCGAAAAAGAAGGAAAAAUGCGGGAGUGGUUUUUUUUUCUAGAAAAGAAAAUUGUGUUGAUAAGAGCAUCUCCAACAGUUUUGUAUUUGGGGUUUGCAUUCUUAUAAUUUGCCAAAAUUAUCGAAAUGAGGUAUCCAAUAGUUUGCAUUUGUGUUUUGCAAUUUGGGCAACUUGGAAAUUGAGAGAGGAAACUUGGCAUAAAUGCAAGUCUGCGGGCCGCUUGGCAAACGCCGAUCGGGUCCUCCUCCUGUGCUCCUCCCGCGCGUGGGGGACUCGAUGAUGACCUGCAGCGUCUCGGAUACAGGUAUCAGGAAAUGGAAGCGACUUGGAUGCUCGCGAACUGGCGCGCGGCGACGAGAAAAUGUCGCAAAGAAGAAACGUGUGCGAUUAAAAGCGCGGGACCAGAUACGACGUGGAAGAAAAAUCGCGCCAAAUACGGUUGGGUCCACAAUUUUGGUUUUCCUAAGUCAACUAUGGCAAACACUUGGAGGUGACCUUUUUUUUUACUUGCCAUAUCGUUUUGAGAGUUGGCAAACUAUAACAAAUGAAAAAUAAAACAUAUAAAACUGUUGGAGACGCUCUAAGUUAUGUUUCGUAAGAUAUUGUAUAUAAAAGUUACGUGCAUAACUUUGCAACUUCUUAAAAAAUAUUAUAAUAUUUUUUCAAAAAAAGGUUAAACAAAACAAUUAUUAGUAUAACUUUGUAACUUUUUAAAAAAUAAAUGUUGCGAAUUCAAAAAUAAAGUUAUUGCUAGGCUAGUGGGAUCGCUGAUUAGCUCAGUUGGAGAACCAAUGCGCGGUAGAGCGUGCAAAAAGAGAAUGAAUGGCGCGCGCGGCACUAUUCAAAUAGGGAAAGAAGUGAAUUUUAUUUUUUUUUAAAAAAAAGAAACUUGCGGUGUGUCGAAUAGAUCAGCUGGUAAAACCUGACCAGCCGAAUUUAAGUUCUCCAUUUGGUAUGGAUGUUUGUAUUUUUCUGGAUUUAUUCCACGAUUUCUCGUCGACGGCGAGGAGCCUACGGUGACUUCGUGAAUCUCGUAAUCUGUCGGUUCGGUCCUUCGAAGGUGCUUAUAGGUUAGAGUUUGUGUACGUGUGUUCAUAGGGGUAAGUGUAAGGUGUCUACGUUGUAUUGUGUAAUUCUAAAAAAAAUCAAAACCAUGUUAUUUUUAGCUUUUAUAUUGCCCUUUUUUUGUCAAAAUUUUAUACUGGCUUCUGCCCGCUUGGCAAGAGUGAUGUAUGGUAUUUUUCUCAGAAGACAAAGACGCAGGAAAGUAUUAUAUAUAAUUGUACGGUGCGGCCACUCUUAUCCAUAAAACAAAUCGUUUGAAUUAUUUUAUGGGUAGGGAGGAAGUAUUUCUAUGAUUUGUGAGGUGCCAGCACGGGGUCCACAGCCAGUCGGCCAACACUGCCCCACUUGUGCAUGCCGCUGUCCACCGGCUGGUAGUUUUAUUUAAUUAUUUUUUAUAUGCUGCUCCCGAGUCCCACCGCAACUUUCACGUGUUGUUCGUGCCGAGACUGCCGACCACCCACCACCGCGCCGCGCGGCUACAUAUCACACCCGUAGAGAUAUCGCCGACUAUUCCUCUCGCUCCCCGAUUCUGUAUCUAUAAAAUGGAGCUCCCAACCCAAAAGCCCAAGCCAAACCAAAAGAAUUCCUCCUCCUCACCAAACCGGGAGUCCCAACCCAAGGCAGCGGCAGCUCAUCACCGGCGCGCGAUGGCGGCAGCAGCUGUAACUCCAGGAGGCACGGGCGGCACCGCUGCGGCGACAAGCCGGUUCGCGGCGGCCUGCGGGGCUCUCAGCCACUACGUCAAGCAAGCGGCCGAAGCCGAGAGGAAGCACGCGAGGCCGGCAGCCGUGCCCGUGCGGCCUCUCCCGCUGAUGCCGGGCGCCGACGUCUCCGACUACUGCAGCCGCGACGGCGGCCUGGACCAUCUGGCUCAAGCGGCGCAGAUGAUGACCAUCGUGUACGGAGGGCGCGUGCUGGUGCUCGACGACGUCCCAGCGGACAAGGCGGCGGGCCUGCUUCGCCUCGCCGCCGCCGCCACCGGCGCAGCAGCAGCGCAAGAAGGUGCAGGUACAGAGGCGACGGGCGGUGCCAUGCGCGGCGGCGGGCAGGUCUCGGCCGCCGCCGACCUGCCAGUGGCGAGGAAGGCGUCGCUGCAGCGGUUCAUGGAGAAGCGCAAGGUCCGGGUCGCCGCCGCGCGCACGGAGCCGUACCGGCGGCCCGACGCCAGCGAUGCCUACUGCCCUGACCACCUCAAGCUCGCGCUCUGAUUCCAGUUAGUUCGGUGUUGUUGCUAUGCAGUUUCUAAUUAAUGUGUACUUAGGCGAGGAAUAGGAUUAGAGAUAUUAUUAUAGGAAGAGUCGAAGAGAGUACUUGGAUUAAUGGAUUGUACAGAGAAACUGGUAAACAUGUGGGGCGGCGUACUGAAUGAAAGCCAGAAUUGAACAAAGUUUGGAAACAGAUUCGCUGUGCUGUGCGUGCACAAUUCCUGAAUUGUACAAAUUAAGGCCUUGUUUAGAUCCGAAAAAAUUUUGGAUUUUGACAUUGUAGCAAUUUUGUUUUUAUUUAACAAAUAUUGUCUAAUCAUAGCGUAACUAAGACAAACUGUGUAAUUAGUUUUUAUUUUUAUCUAUAUUUAAUGCUUCAUGUAUAUGCCGUAAGAUUCGAUGUGACGGAAAAUCUUGAAAAGUUUUUGGUUUUUUGGUGAAGUAAACAAGGCCUAAGUUGCAGAUCCACGUCGCACAGAGUCAGUCCUUAGCAGAUUGUUCCCCGAGCUCCUGCCGACAUGCAUGCCAGUUUAAUUUCCCUAAUCACUCACUCAAUCGAGUCGCGAAUAGUAGUAACGAUAGUAGCGUACUAGCUAGCUCGAGCUGGAAUCAUCACACGCACACAACCAUCAGCGAACGAAACAAAUUGUUGUUUUGUAGAGUUGUGGAUUGAGUGGAUGAUGAAGGCGGUUUGUGGGGGCAGAGUUGCAGUAAAUCUGAAUCGUGAGCUAGGACAAUAUUUCAGGAGCUACAAGGGUCUCAGACAAGCUAGGCGAUCCAUUAUCCCCCUUGUUGUUCAUGUUGUAGAUGGUUUAUCAGCAAUCUUGGAUAAAGCUGUGGAAAGAGGUGUCCUAAGUGGCGUUACCCCUCAUUUAGUUCAUGAUGGGCUCACUCACUUACAAUAUGCUGAUGACACUAUACUUUUCAUUUAGAACACAUAUAGUAACAUUGCAAACUUAAAGUUUCUGUUGUUCUGCUUUGAGGAAGUCUCAGGUAUGAAAAUCAAUUACAGUAAGUCAGAGGUGUUCACAUUGGGGAUAGUGACGUGGAGACUGCAAGAAUUUCUUAUGCCUUUAAUUGUAAAGUUGGUAUGUUUUUAAUGAAAUAUCUUGGCUUACCUACCAGCUAUAAGAAAUUAUCCAACGAAGAGCUUAGGCCUUGUUUAGUUCGCAAAAUUUUUGUUUUUGGUUACUGUAGCAUUUCGUUUUUAUUUAACAAACAUUGUCCAAUCACGGAGUAACUAGGCUCAAAGAUUCAUCUCACAAAUUACAGGUAAACUGUGCAGUUAGUUUUUAUUUUCGUCUAUAUUUAAUGCUCCAUGCAUGCGACCAAAGAUUCGAUGUGACGGGAAAUCUUGAAAAUUUUUGCGAACUAAACAAGGCCUUAGUGAGUCUUCCGGAAAAGUUGAGAAAAGGUUAGAAACCUGGAAAUGUAAUCAGCUGUCCUAUGGUGGAAGAUCAAUACUUAUUAAUUCCAGCCCCACUGGUAUACCUAUGAACACUAUGAGUUUCUAUUGGCUGCAUGAAGGUACUCCAAAGAGGUUAGAUUCUGUAAGAGGUAGAUUUUUUUGGGAAGGGGUUCUUCCCUAGAUUUACCGGCAGCUUCUCGGCCAGAAACUUUGCCCACGUCACUCCGAAUUCUCCCGUCCAUCCGAUCUGCAGUUGAACGGUCUAGAUCUCUUCAAUUGGAUUUUACCGGAAGCGGCUCCUCCUGAUUCUCUUUAGCUUCCUUGACUUCUCUCGAUUUCUCUCUAGCUUCUCAACUUCCGCUCCAAAUCUGAUCGACCAAAUAUAACAGCCAGCUUCUCCUUCUCCUUCUCGACUCUUCUCCUGCUCGACUCUUCUCAUCCGUCCGCUCUCAGACUCUCUCUUUCUCUCUCUCUCUGGCUCUCCCAAGGUGGCAUUGCAGCCCAUCGCCGACGAAGGCCCUAGGCGCAGUGGCACGGGCCCAAUUUUUUAUAAUUUGGUCCUUUUUUUGAAAAAAAUUCACAAUUGGACCCCUGGAAAACUUAAAUGCAGAAAUGGACCCAGGGGGUCGGCGCCAUGCAUCAUGGCGCCGAGGUUUCACGUCUCGGCGCCAUGGAUCACGGCGCCGAGGUCCUGGCACUGCCUUCUCACGUGGAUCUGACGUGGCAGGGAGCUCGGCGCCAUAGAUCACGACGCCGAGCUCCCUGCUACAAAUCGGCCGACGCCCUUCGCUACCCUUGGACACAGUUCAUAUUUUCAUCUCCCCUCUCGGCUCUUUCUCUCCAAAAACCGAGCACGAAUUUGGAUUCAAUAUUUGGACCAUCAAAAGUUUGAUUUGUUCCAUAGAUCUUGAAGAGCCAGGUAUACUCUUUGACAUAUUAGUUUUUGACUCAUUGAUUUGACCUAUAUUACACGUAUGUUGUAGACUUAGAUAAACCAUUUAUAGUUUUUUGAAUGGAUGAUUAAUAUUUUUCUUAUGCAAUCGUAGAAUGCCACGUCGUGGAAAAAGUAGCAAACCAAGGUAACCUUUCGACAUGUUUCGAUAAAUUUAAUUCCUUAUUAUUUAUCAUUUGGUAAAUUGUAGUUUUCGGUUCAAUCGUUAUUUGCUAUGACUUCUUAGAAUUGAAUUAUUUGAACUGUAGCUAUGGCCGGACGACCGGUAGUCCGUACAUCCACAAGCCGCUUCCUAGCGGUGUUCCAGUACCUAUGUGCUUUUGUGGUGAUCCUUGCAAGGUAGAAAUUUCGGAAGACGAGGAAACCUAUCGGCAGAGGUAUUGGAUGUGUUCGAAUUUUGCCUGGGAGCCUACGCCAAAACAACGCCGCAGUAACUUUAUUGUAAGUUAUUUUUUCUAUUGUGCACUUAUUAAUUUGUGUCCUACGAAGCAUGAUUUUAAUUUUUGAACAAAUAUAUUUGUUGCAGACCCCUCCACCAUUGUGUGAUUUUGAGCAGUGGAUCGACACUGAGGUUAAGGAGUCCGACAAGCGGCUUCUACAAGGCCUAAAGGAGUGGGAUGCAGAGCGUGCAGAGAUAUUAGAGAAGAGACGUAGAGAGGAGGCUCAAAAGAGGGAGCACAAGGAAGAGGAGGAAAGAAGACGUGUUGCUGCGGCUCGGGAUUAGAGGGAAAAGAAGCUUGAGCGUGUGCGCCGAGCGAAGGCAGCGAUUGAUGAGAAUCCAGAUGCCCAGAGGAAGGGAAAGUGGCCUCGUUGCACUCAGUAGUUACAUUACCUUCUUGUUCUUUGUUUGGUUCAUGGACAAUAUUGUUUUGUGUUGGACUUUUCAAUUUGUUGUUAUGUAAUGCACUUUAGCACUUUUAAUUUGGUUUCAUUAUUAGUAGACAAUAUUUUUAUUUGAGUAUUGCAUAGGCAAUGAAAUGAGGAUAAUUAGUUGAAAUAGAAGUUAACGAACUAGUAUAUUGCAUAACUAGUAGCACACAUCACAUUGAAUGGCAUGUCAAAACAUGCACCAAACCAGGGUGCAGAGGUCCGAGACUAAACCUAACAUGCCUUAGGUAAUUCAAGCUAUUAACAAGCACAGGGAAUGGCAUGUGAGAACAUAUACCACACAAAGGUACAUAGUUCUUUCGACUAACCCUAACAUGCCUUAGGUGAUUAAACCAAACAACAAACAUAUGGAUGUGGCCUGUGAAUUAGUUCAGUUCUACCUAGUAGUGUGGCCACAUAGCAAACUGUGUUGCCCCUUCUCCAUAGUAUCCUCCCGUUGUUGGUGGUGGUGGUGGGGGUGGUGGUGAAGGAGGGCCCUUGUUCUUGUGAUUAGGGCAUGUGCAGUAUGGAUCAUUGCAUAUUGUGUUUUGGGAGCCAGUAGCAUUGCUGUUGUCGUCCUCUUCGUCGUCCUUGUAACCACAGCUAACUUCCGUUUCUAAAUCAAAGAUACGGUCCUGCAGGUAGUAGAUGUACUCUGCAUGGGGAUGAAUAGGUCUAGGAUCGAUCCAUCUGGUGAAGCCACAGUUCUCUUUUGACAAGAAUGACUGCAAUAAGUAUUUAGCUUUAGCACAAGAGAGUAUCUUAUUGAAGGUUGAAUUAGUAAUAUGACUUACCCAUGCUCGUGGACAUUUGAAGAAACGACGCCCUCCAUCUAUCCCCUCUGUGUACAUCUGCACCAAACAAUCCUCACCAUGCAUACAUUUUGGCCACUCUUCUUUUCGGUCAUCAUAUGCCCUCAGUGGUGCCUCUUUAGUAAAAUCAUGUUUGCUCUCAAGGGGGAACCUAUCAUAAAUUGCUUCCUCAAAGUCUUUAGGACCAAGAGGACCCUCCCAAAGAAAGGGAUUACCCUUCAUCGCCGCCUUUCCCUUUCCCUUCCCUCUAGACGACCCUCCAGACAUUUUUACUUGAACUGAACAAUCUCAAGUGAGUAGCAACGCUCUCACCACUGCGUAUAUAUAUAGGAACCCAAUAGUUGGUAGCCGUUGUAGUAUAUAAUAAAUGCACCUGAAAAGCCUAGAUUCUAUUACUGAAAAGCCUAGUUGAAAACUGAAAAGUCUAUUUGGAUUGUCAUCUGAAAAGGCUAGAUUCGUUCACUGUUUCGGAUGUGAUGAUUCAAUGAAAAGCCAUAUUGGUUCACUGUUUCUGAAAAGCCUACACUGCGAAAACCAAUAGGAAUGGACCACAGAAUAUGUGCACUACAUUGAAUAAUUCAUGGAAAAAAUUUGCAAGAGUUUCCCCUAUUUUUGGUACAUCCACAGUUAUAAAUAGACAUCACAGUACAAUACAAACAUUGAUUCAUCCUAAUAUCACAACACAAGCACAUACGCCAUCAGGAAUGAUAGUUCAGAUAGUCCACAGAGACCAUACAGUCCCAUAUAGUACAAAUAGUCCACAAAGUUCACAGUGUCGAUACAUGCAAAAUAACAGAAGUUAUGCCAUCAAUUCUAAGCUGCAAUAUAGUGAGAACAAGGAGAGUGGUACUGUCUUGGUCUCCCACAUCCACAUGAAAAAUAAGUCAGGACAACAAUAUAACUCCUUGAUGGUCGGAUCUCACCAUCUGACGUUGUACCACCCCUUUCAGUGACCUGGUACUUGCCAGUGGCAUGGUCAAAACACUCUAUGUCAUGUGUUCUAGCCCUUUCCUUUGCCUUGUCAAGGUGCUUCUUAGCUCUAGGUGCCCAUUUCAUAUUAUUACUCUGUAAUUGCAAUGCUUGAGCAUGUCUAUCGUUGAACCAGGCCACUAGUCUAUAAAAGGUAAAAGAUACAAUGGCAUUGACUGGCAUGGCACGUAUACCCUUGAGCACACUAUUAAAUGACUCUGCCAUGUUGCUAGUCUGAAACUCGUACCUCCAUCCACCAUUAUCAUGGGCUCUUGUCCAUUUAUCAGGUUCCCUCAUCAAACCUAGCAGCCACUGCCUACCUUCUGCAUUUGUUGCGGUUUUUAACUGCUCCAACUUCUCCUCAAAAAACGGCACCUCAAGCAUUCGAGCAACCUCCUCGAAUAGAGGAAAGUUGUCCUUCGUACCAUCUUUCCGAAGUAAAUUCUCUGCAAGGUGUCUAGUACACCAACGAUGGUGCAAAGGUGCAUAACCAGGAAUCUGCUCCUGUACGGCACUGAGUAUGCCCUGGUGCCUAUCAGAUAUGACACCAACCUCCCUAUGUGGGCCAAUGACAUGUAUCCGAACAAGGCGCAUGAACCAACCCCAGCUGUCUUUGUUCUCUCUCUCCACCAAAGCAAAAGCCAAAGGAACCAAUGCGUUGUCAGCGUCACAGGAAAUGGCUACCAAAAGAGUGCCCAUGUACUUGCCAAGCAGAAAAGUACCAUCAAUUGAUAACACUGGACGGCAGUGCCUAAAGGCCUGGACACACUGUGGAAAACACCAGAAUGCACGAAAGAAUAUCUGCCUCCCAUUCCUCCAUUCAUUAGGCUUCGGAAUGUACUCGUAAUGCAUGCCUGGAUUAGCUGCUUUCAUUGCAUUGAACAUUGCUGGCAGCUGCUCGUACCCCUCCUCCCAGUCCCCAUAUAUCAUCUUCCAGGCCCUUUGCUUUGCCCUCCAUGCUUUGCCAUACUUUAUGUCAUAUUUAAAUAUCUUCUGAGCCAUGUCCAUAAUUGUUCUGACCUUCAAGUUGGGCUGACCCUUUAAAGUUGUGCAUAACGUACUAGCAAUAAGUGUAGAGGUCAACUGUCGAUGCUUCUGUUGAAGGUCAGUCUGGGCACAAGUGUGUGGACCUACAAUUUUUGUGAUCUUAAACUUCCCGGUGGCCUUCUGUUUACGAGCACAGACCCUCCAGUUGCAAUCUGACAUCUCACACACAACCGUGUAGCGGCGCUCAACAUGGGAGUGCAUCACCUUGAAGGGUCUUUUACGUAUUACAGAAUAUUGUUGUAACCACCUUCUUAAGCUGGGCAAGUCAUUAAAGAUCAUGCCCUUCUGUAUUUGCACACUGUCACUAGGCUCAGGAGCCUCCAGCAGCUCAUCAUCUCUUCCCUCUGCAUAAGCAUUUUGAGAAUGACUGAGGUCACUAAACUCGUGAACUAGUGGAUCACGAUCAGGAUAAAAACGUCUGAUAAGCUCCAUUUCUUGUUCACUUAAAGGUGCAACUGGGCGGUCAUCAUCAGAAUCAACAGCUCUAGCUGUGCCAUAGGGCUCCUCAUCAUCCUCAAUAUUAACAUCCAAACUAUUAGAUGCUAUAAAAACUGCGUCAACAUUCAAUGUUGGAGGCACAGGAUGACAACAAUCAUUACUUGGAUUGUCACCUACAACAAAACCACAAAUAUGGAUACAAUUGAGACAAAUAAAUCGAACGAAGGAGGGCUAACAAAAUGAAUAAUGCAACUACGCCACUUACAUGGAAUUGUCUGGGUCAUAGGGGUCUGUAGGCAGCCAACCUCAUUGGGACCGGAUUGAGCAUCAAGAACGACAACCACAUCUUCCACACCCACAUCCUGAAUGGGUAUCACAGAAGCUGAGGGUGCCGGAUUGUUCACUAGAGGGCCAAUGGGUGGUUGCCAAUUAAGAGGAGAAUCCACUAGAGGACCUGGCUCCUUGGACAAGUUGCGCACAACCAAAUCCAAACAUUUAAACUCACUCUUCAUGACAGUUUUGACAUAUUUGUCCCAUUGAACCUCGGAUACAAUUGGAACCAACCGCCUAAAAAUUGUCCCUGACCCGCCAUGGUGAAUGACCCCCUCAACUAAGAUUUCUUCUUCAUUCGAAUUACAUUUAAGCUGAUCACGAGCACUACCCAUCAAUUCAGAAAACAAGGGCCGCUCAUCGAACAUCAAAGGGACCGUUUCCAUUCCAACAAAAUCAACAUUGCCAAACUGAUCUUUCUCCACACUUCCUCCAUGAUAUAAGGUUACUAAAUUGUCCAUCUAAUUGAUAUACAAAACAACCAUAUUACUAGGCAUAUAACUAAUACAACUACAACUAUAGUACACAUACGAAUUAUUAUGUAUAUGUAUAUCUAUUUUAAUAAUAAUCUACCUACCCAACUAUAUAACUAUAUUAUCUAAUUUAAUAAUAACUACCUACCCAACUAUAUAACUAUAUUACCGAACUACAUUUAUUACAUAUAGUACCUAGCUAAAUUAACUAAAUUAACACCAAAACUAUAAUUAAGUACAAAAAUGCUAGAUGAAUCACCAAACUAAACUUGUUCCCGGAUAAAACUAAUAACUAACUAAAUUAGAAUUUAAUAAUACCUAACUAAAAUUAAAUUCACAAACAACCUAAAUUACAAAACGAAUAACAACUACAAACUACAAAUUUAAAAAUUACCUAGCAGCAAAUGUCCCAGGGAGGCAACGCUGCCUGCCCACCCCCGCGGCAGGGGAACCGCGCCGCCCCGACCCACCACCCAGGCCCAGGCCGGCCACGGGCCACCACACCGGGAAGGGUGCCCGGCCGGCGGCGCGCCCUGAGGCGCGGACAGCGCGUGGGCCCGGGACGAGAGCGCGGACAGCAGCGCGUCGGGCGCGGGCAGCGCGUGGGCGCGGACAGCAGCGCGUCGGGGGAGCAGCGCGUCGGAGCCGAGGGAGCAGCGGAGCAGCGCGUGGGCCCGGCCGGGAAUCGCGCGGCGCGACGGGAAGCAGGGGAAGGAGAGGCACGGGCGGCGCGACGGCGAGCAGGGCGAGGCAGCGUCGGGGAGCAGGGAGGAAGAAGGGAAAGGAGGAAGAGAGAAAGGAAAUCGCGAGCCACGGCUGGUUUUGGAUUCAAAAGGUCGGCGCCGUGAUCUGUGGCGCCGAGCUCGGCGCCGAGAUCUGCGGCGCCGAGGUAUUUUUUUUUUUGCCACGUUUUGCCACGCGAGCGGCCACGCAGACGCUACGCUGGGCACGGCCAGGGACCUCGGCGCCGUGAUCCAUGGCGCCGAGACGUGAAACCUCGGCGCCAUGAUGCAUGGCGCCGACUCCUGGGUCCAUUUCUGCAUUUAAGUUUUCCAGGGGUCUAAUUGUGAAUUUUUUUUAAAAAAAGGACCAAAUUGUAAAAAAUUGGGUGGCACGGGAUGGGCCGACGAAGGCCCUAGGCGCAGUGCCACGGGAUGGGCGCCCUCCCCUCGACGCGGUGGUGCAGCGCCGGCACGCCGGGGUUGCGGCGAUCGUGCCCCCUGGCGGCGGCGCGGGGCGAGCGCCAUCCCCCGCGACGGGAACACCGCCGUCGCUCCUCCGUGAGGUCGCCGCCUCCAGGUUGCACGACCUCCUCUCCAUGACGCAAGCUGCCAUGUCGUCCUAGGCAGACGGACCCCUGCGUGACGACGACGACGACCUAGGGUUUCGGCCAUUCUUCGCCGGCGGCCGCGGCUCCGGUGAACUGCUGGUACCUCGCCCCCUCCUACUCCUUUCGAUCUCUAUCCCCAUGUCUCCAUCCAUUCGUUUUGUUACAGCAGGAACACAUAUAUGUAUGUUUCAUUUGCAAAAGCUGCAAUUUUUUUUCUCCAAAUCUGCGUUUCGGUUAUGAUUAGCAUAGCUUAAAUCUUUACAGAAUGGCGUGCUGCGGCUUCAGCUUCCCCGGCCACGGUAGGGGUUUUACCGGUGGCUACACGGCCUCUGGGACAUCGACAACAUGAUAGGCCAGGAGGUUCUUGGAGUUUGACUCAGGUAGAUAUGCCUCCAUUUGUUUUACAAUGAAUUGAUGAAUGAUUUAUGAUAGGCCAGGGGGUUCUAGGAGUUUGGCUCAGGCAGAUAUGCCUCCAUUUGUUUUACAAUGAGUUGAUGAAUGAUUUAUGUGACUUCUUUUAUAUGUUCUGCUUAAUUUAUAUGACUAUGUAUCAUGUGUGCACAGGUAUAUAGUGCUUUUUGCCUGCAACAGAAAGUUAUGUAUGCUGUUUUUUGAGAGCCAUGAAUUUUUAAGAGCUAAUCUUGCCUGCAAUGGAAAACUAUGUAUACUAUAGUUAAUACUUCAUGAUGCCUGGUCAUAUUAAAUAGAAUAUAAACCUUCUCUUCUUUCAAGUUGAUUUUUCUACCUAUACCUCUUAUUGGACUUUACAUGUUUUCUUUAUGAAUAGGCAAGCGCUUUUGGUACAUAUAACAAUGAUGAUUCUACUCUUUAAGGUCAGCUUUAUCCCUAACCCUUCUCCCCUUUGAAUUAUGUUCAAUAGCAAUGCUACUUUUCUUUACCUCAUGCUUAUUACGUUACAUUGCUAGCCUUUUUAGAACAUAAAAUGGAGAUCACAAUGAGGUCAUUGCAACCUGCCUACUGUUGUCUACCAAUGUAAAAAAAGACCUACAAGAGGUAAUAGUUCUCGUAGUGUAUUCCCUCUAUAUCUCCGUGCUUCUUUAUUUUUUGACGCCAUUAGUACGCUAUAGUUUUGUCCAUGAUUUCAAAUUAUCAUGUUUGGCCUUACUUGAUACCUUAUGCUCCGUUGUUGAAUCUAUGUUGACCUAUGCUCAAGUUGCCUGUGCUUGCCGCCUCACUACACCAAGAAAUAUGCUAAGUUCUAGGUUCACACUAAGGAAAAAAUCCAUUAUAUAUAACAUCGUUGUCAAUUAUUUUUAUUACAGGUAAAUAGGUUCAUUCGUAAUCCUGCAACUGCAGCUAGGCAUGUAUUCCGUGAGAAGCAGGGAAAGAUCAAUGAAUCUUAUAAGAAGCUGCAGAAUGGAUGGCUGAACAGUGGGGACAAAAGACCCUUCUGUUAAGUUUGCUAAGGUAAGGGGUAAGAUUAGUUGGUUCGAUCUUUUAAAACCAAUUUUUCUGAUAGCCUACUACUUUUCCUUUUUUUAUAUCAUUUUACCCUCGUCCCAUUGAAAUAUAAUGUUCUCGGCCAGAAACUUUGCCCACGUCAAGCACAAGGUGAUUAAUUUAUAUGUUGGAAACUUGCCUUAUGCCCCAUUUGUAGCAACGAAUGUUCCUUUCCAGUGCGUAAUCUACAUACUAGGUUCAGAAAAUUCAGUCUCAUGUGACCUAGCAGUGGGACUUUCCCUACUGUUUUCUUGGUUCACUGAAAGGUGUGUAUGGAGAAAACUGUGUGAGGAACAUCAAGCACAAGACGAUUAAUUUAUAUGUUGGAAACUUGCCUUAUGCCCCAUUGUAGCAAGGAAUGUUCCUUUCCAGUGGGACUUCCCCUACUGUUUUCCUGGUUCAACAAAAAAAACUUUCAAUUCCAUAUAUUGAUGUGUGUUACUUUAUGUUACUAGAAUAAAAUAUUGGUCUGCUUUGUGAGAUUUUAAAAAAUAAUGUUGUAAAUUUGCAAUAGUCCGCCCAUUAGCUAUGCCUAUGUAUAAGCCACAGUGCUUCAAAUGGAAUUAGGUUGGUCAUUUGAUCAUUUUUGUUAACCACAAAUAGAAGUACGACUACUAGGCUAAAAAAUUGAUACAGUUUGCUGAAGAUAUCUCAGAGUGUAACUACUUCCGUUUACUCACCCAACUGUUACCUAUCUUAUAGUUUGGUCUACAAAAUUUGCGAUCGUAGAUAUAAGUUGGUUGUUCAUUUACCAUCUUGUUCCUUUGCCUCAAGGCCAGCUACUCUGUAUAUGCCAGGUAUCCCAUUAUUCUGUGUUUUUUAUCUCCAUGCUCCUUUGUUAUUAUUGUCAUGUGCACAGCUCCUAAACCCUAUCAAUUUCCCUUCUAUUAUUGUGUUUAGGUGCAUUCAAUCAGAUAGCAAGCAAAAGGUGAAAAAGACUGGACAGGUGAACAACUUUCCUUUGAAAUGCUUUAUUCUUAGUUCAUAUCCAGUUUGGUUUACCUAUACGUCACACAUGAAUUCUUGUAAAUUUUAUAUAUUUCUUGCAUAUAGGAUUAGUUCUAUUAACUGAACUAUUUCUCCAUUAGAUAGAACCCCCUCCUAAUUAGAUGGUUUCAAACUAAAACAUUAUUUGGACAGUAUACAAUACUAAUACUUUUGUAUGCAGAUUCUUCUUUUUUUAUCUCCAUGUCAAGAGUACGUUGCCAAAUCAGGCUGCAUUCCUUUGGUACACUUUCUCUCUAUUUGUAAUGUUAGUCAUGGCAAUAUGUGUGUGCAGUACUUUCAGACACUGACAAUGUUAGUUGCCAUUGUUAGAACUACUUUUCAUUUAGAGUUACUUACUCCCUUCAUCCUGUCCUGCUUACAUCUUUUUUAAAAACUAUUGAUUUAUCCUCUACAUCUUGAAAAUACAUGGCAUGUGUUAACCUCUACACUUCAGCUGGACAUCACUGUCACUCCAUGUCCCUCUUCUUCGAACCUCCUAGGCUCACCUUAGUUUGGCCAUGUGCUUCUCUUUUUCAAAUGAUUUUCCUGAUUCGUCUUCUCAGUUAAGAUGCCACGGGUUUCCUAAAUUGUUUCCCCUUUUGUACGUACUCACUUUCACAGGACCUACGCAUGCUAAUAUGGUAUGGGUCACACUUGCGUACUACUAUGUGAUAAACUCCCUUCUUUUUCACUCAUCUCAAGUUGCCAACUCCCAUCAAUUUUGGCAGAAAAAAAUGACAUGUGUACUUCUUAUUUUGAUUUCUUCUCCAGAAUCUUACCCAUAUAGCUCUUUUUGUCUUAUCUUUAUUGAUGAAUAGUGGUGGCACCGUAACAAAAAUAUUGUAUUCGAGGAUCUUAUUGAUCGAUGCCUUAGCCACAAGAUUUACUUAGUUCUUUCGCCAAAAUAUUCUUUGCUUGGAUGAUUGGCAAGGCGUUGAUGCUCGACGAAAUCAUAAAGCUAGGUGCAAUUGCUGCAAUGAUAGGUCGAGGUAAGCAGCACAUCCCAGUUCAAACUAUCCGAUGCACCUAACUAAAAUUCGAUUUUUCCAAAUUCUUAUUGAUUUCACUGCUUUCUGGUCCAGUUUCUCUUCAUGAAGCUUGCAAGACCCCACUUGGCUUCAGCAACCUGCGUACCCUCCUAUAAAAAGAUGGAAGUUUAAACUUUCCCUGUGUUUUGCCCUGUGAUGGACAAGUUGACCAAAUUAGUAGAUUACUCAGAUGUUCCAAACCUGUGGCCCUUCGACAAGCUUAGUCCAGUCGUUCGUUCCAAACGUCUUCGACAACCAACCUACCAAUGCCCAGUAUGCUUUUCAGAACUUGAAGGUAAACCAACUAAUGCUUGAGCAGCUCAUUUUGGUUAUCCAUUUAGUUAGCUUACUAAAUAAUCAAAUCAUUGGGAAUCUUAACAUAGCUUUGGUUUAUAUUUUUUUUUUAUUUUUCAGCAAAGAAGCUACUACAAGAAGAAUCUCCAGAGCAUUAAUAGCUUCCUGAGCAGAAGCGAUGUCCACGUCGCCUAAAAUAUUCUUGUCCGUUCGAUCUCACCAUCCAACGCCCUAGAUUGAUCCGAGCGGCUUCUACCCGGAGCGGCUUCUCUUGCUUCUCGUGCGCUUCUUCGGCUGUUCUGGCUUCACAUCAGAAUCCAGACUACCAAAUAUAUAUCUCAGCUUCUGCUUCUCCUUACUAAAAAAACACAGCUCUCCCAUCCUGUCCUCUCCCUCCGCUUCCUCCCUCAUCCUUCCGACGUGAUGGACGCCGACGACGGCGAGCGGCGCGCCGCGGCCGCCCUCCUCCUCCUCCUCCAUCUCCUCCUCAUCCUCCUCCUCCUCCUCCUCCUCCUCCUGCGCCUCCUCUCUCCCCUUCCCUUCCAUGCCGGCGGCGGGCGCCACGCAGCGGCGCAGCCUGCAGGCAGCGCGAUGGCGCCAGUGGUGCCCGCUGGCUCCUUCCCUCUCCUCCAUCCUACUUGCGGUCUCCUCGAUGCCUCCUCACCCCAGGGCGCCUGCGCUCCUCCCGUUAGCGAAACCCCAGGUAACCUUCCCUGUACAUUGAUGAUUAGUUGUUUCGUUCAUGUUAUCCACUGAGGCUUGGACCUUGUGCAAUGAUGAUCCUUUUAAGAUUGAGUCAAUAGAAUGAUUUAUUGGAUGUUGUAUUAGUGACCAGACGCAACAUCAGAGUUAUUUUUUACUUUCAAUUACUAGGCUACACCUAUACAUCGGCUUGUUAUGUACAUAAUCUUGUUUAAUUUAAUACAGUAUUGUUUUUCAUCCAGCUGUUUAUUCUUUCGUAUUGUGGGAUCAUGACAGCUCUAAAUUUUCUGCCUCAGAUUUUAGGUGAAUGAGUUAGUUUUGGAAAAUUUGUUCCGAAUUGUAAAAACAUUAAGAUGUACUUUUUAGGGGUAAAAUUUUGGACCUUGUACUAUUCUAUUACGAUAGGCUUGCCUAUGCCCCUAGAGGUCUAAUUAACUUUUAUUGGACUUGGUUCUAGCUGCUUGCUUAGUCUACAGAACUUCGGCUCCUAUAAUAUUUAACGCACAUAGGAAGCCCCCCUGCAGGUCUAAUUAUCUUCUAUUGGACUCAGUUCUACCUGCUUGGUCAGUUUGGAGAACUUAGGCUCCUAAUAUUUAACACACAUAGGAACUCCAGUGAUGCACCAAAAUUCAGCUUUAAAGGCUCCUAUAAUAUUUAACACACAUAGGAACUCCAGUGAUGCACCAAAAUUCAGCUUUAGAGGCUCCUAUAAUAAUUAACACACAUAGGAACUCCAGUGAUGCACCAAAAUUCAGUUUUAAACUUUGGUAUAUUUUAAAUCAUCGUGUAUAAGCUGAAAUUCAAAUGUUCUUAGAAAAUGGCAUAGCAUUAUUUGAAAAGAGAAACAAGGGCAGUUCUUUUCUGUUAUGAACGAGGUGGAUAUUUGGGAGAUAACUAGGCCUUAUGCUUUGCCAAGAGCUUUGGGAUAACUGGGCCUUAUGCUUUGCCAAGAGCUUGAGAGAUUGAGGGAGACUAGAAUUGUUUCUUAAUAAUUCAUUGCUUGCUUUCCAUUGUGCCCCAUGGGCUGAAUAUAAAAAGGUACAUAGGACUAACACCUCUUGUGCCUAGACAAUAUGGUACUAUUCCUAUAGACAAAUAACUAAGAGAGACACUAAUUAACACUAAUGGGCUUAAGGACCAACUAGGACACUUGCGCCCUACGACGCCCCUCUUUAUGCCCAUGACAUCUCCCCCGCCCUUGGAGACCCAGCUCGUCCUCGAGCUGGAGAGCUGAAGCGAAAUAGGGUUAAGCCUUUACAUCUCGGCUUCCCCUUUUUAUUGAAGACUAAAAUACAAGGAUAUCCACCUGGAUCCCAUGGAAAGAGCGCCUCUGCUGGCUUCAUGUAGGCUGAAGGGUGGAGUGUGAAGCAGCUGGCUCUUAUGCUGAAAGUGUCUAGCACCACGGCAGGCACAAGGAUGAAUGAGAUAGCCUUUGAUGCCUGAUGCUGGAUGCCUGAUGCGAGGUCGCUGCACUGGAAACGCCCAUACUUGGACCCCCACUGCAAUUGGAGCCGCAGGCCGUAUCGGCGAGUCCGAGUGGAUGAACACGUACGACAACGUCGAGCUGAGGAGCAUGUGUAUCUGCCGCACCAUGCGACGGACAAGCAUUGCGCGCACUGCUGCCUGGAGGCGCACUGUUGCUUGCUCCUUCGAUGCUUUUGUGGCACGAAGAGCCUGCGCUCGGCGAUGUGCCAGGAGUCCCCGUGCUGCUGCCUGGAGGCGUACAACCGCCCGGCGUUCACGGUCCUUCUUCGCGUUGAUCAACUCCUUGAUGCGAUCCAGCUGCGUGAAUAUAUCAGCAAAGAUGCGGGAAGUGUCGUUGGCAGUAGGGGACACAUGGUGGAGCAGGUCGGGGCACGGGGGCGAUGUGAAGCGCAGGUGCAGGAGCUCGGUGAAGCGAUGCCACGCCGGGGUGCCUUCAGCGUGCUGGACUUGUAGGAACCAAACCCGGGCGUCAUCUUCCAAAUUACGGGAAACCAGCCAUACCUUUUCUUCCUCCAUGAUGCGCUCUCGGUGGAAGUAGGAGUCGCACUGGUUGACGAAGGCCACAGGAUCAGAUUUCCCCGCAAAUUUAGGGAAAUCCAUCGAGGCAAAGCGUGGCAGCGGCGGUGUGUUGUGGCGGAUCUAGAUCGAUGAUUGCGGCGGCGGCGGAUGGUGGUGAUAGGGCUGCGGCGCGGUGGCUGUGGUGAUGGGGGUGCGGCGGCGGCUGGUGGCGUUGCUGUGGCGGCGCGGCACGAUGGAUGAGGUAGGCGACACGACGAUCUGGAUCGGUAUCUUUUUUUUUUGGAAACGGCCGAUGGAGGAUCGGAACUGCUGGAGGAUUCGCCUGAUGGAGGAUCGGAGGUGCUGGAGGAUCCGGCUAAUGGAGGAGGAUCGCUGGAUUCUCUCUGAUACCAGAUGUUAUGAACGAGGUGGAUAUUUGGGAGAUAACUAGGCCUUAUGCUUUGCCAAGAGCUUGAGAGAUUGAGGGAGACUAGAAUUGUUUCUUAAUAAUUCAUUGCUUGCUUUCCAUUGUGCCCCAUGGGCUGAAUAUAAAAAGGUACAUAGGACUAACACCUCUUGUGCCUAGACAAUAUGGUACUAUUCCUAUAGACAAAUAACUAAGAGAGACACUAAUUAACACUAAUGGGCUUAAGGCCCAACUAGGACACUUGCGCCCUACGCCGCCCCUCUUAUGCCCAUGACAUUUUCGGUGUUAUUUUUUUUGAAAGGACACGACUUUCACCCUUUUCAGAGAUCUUUCUUAUGCCUUCGUUCUCAACUUUGUUCAAUCACCUAGAUAAUGGAAAAGGUUACCUCUGCAUAGAAAGAGAGGAGUGUGGGUCAAGGAAUAGUGGUUGCUUGUUGUUUUGAUGCUGCUCUGCUCUUUUGAUUGUUUCAGGAAAGAAAUCAAGAUAUUGCCUAGCUGUUAUUAGACCGUGGACAUACAGGUGUCAUUAGUUUUCGUUUAGAUUCUACUCUGCUCAUUGGAUCUUUUGUUGGUAUCCAGUUCAAAUCAACCGAAAAAGGAUGCGACAGAGUACCAGCCUGGAAUAGAUUUCAAACUGCUGAUUUUUACCACCUUUAUUCCUCCUGUUUACUCUUUUCAUUGCCUGUCACUAUAUUGAAAACUGAGAGGCCUAAAUGCAAUGUCAAUCCAUAGUUUCUUAACUAUGCUAAUACAAUCAUUCUGCUUAAUGGUUUCUUACAUGCAUCAAACAAGAAAAAUGCAGCCACUAGGUUCAGAACUCUUUUUUUGAUACUUGCUAUAUGUGCUUACAUGAUAUAUCUAUUACAAGACUUGCGCCAAAAAAAGACUUAUCACAGGCAAUUGAGAUUCAUUUAUGUAAAUAUAGAAGUCUUGGAGAAUAGUACAAAAACAGAUGGCCUUGGUAAAUGAUCGAAGGCAAGGAAAUAAUCUUGCAUUUUCUUGUGGUAAAUCACAAUACUCACUGCUUGCCAAGCAAAGAACAGGCACUGCCUUUUGGUUUACCUUGCUCCACUGCAAUAAAACAUUUAUCUAUGACAUUUAUUGGUUAUUGGCGUUAUUUUUGCAGGAAAGAAGGUAUUUUUGAUAAAGACCAUUUGUUGGCCUGCUGCCUUUCAGAUCCAUGUAUAGCUCUCCAAAGGUGGCUGAUGUGAGUAUCUAUCUAGCAUAGGUACAUACAUACAAUUUUCAGCAUUAUUCUUACUGCUAUUUCUGUUGUAUAUAGACUGCUACAGCUCCAAAUAUUUGCCACCAUAUUUUCUAGAGUACAUAAGACUGUCUUUGAUUUGUUCACUAUAAACUGAAAUGUGGCGAAAAAAUCAGCCCUGACAUUUUAUAGUUCACAGUUUCACACCGAUUUGAUUCUUGCCUUCUUCCAUUUAUGAUUCAACUUUCCUCAGCCCACAUGGUGCAGUAAACAAGGAAAAAAAUAACACAUACCUAAUCAUGUUUUCAAUACUAGGGUCCACCCAUUUUUUUACAAUAUCCACUAUGUAGGGUUGACAAGAACCCUGCUCAGGUAAAACAAUUCAUCCGGUGCCCUGGCCUACACCUUCGCCCUUUUGUCUUGUUGCCUACACAUUCUACAGUGCAAAGCUUAAAUCUUAGUAAGGUCAUGGAUUUUCAUAUGGCUACUUUUUCCCCAGUAGAGAAUAAACGCCAACGAGUUUACAUGCCACCUUAUAUUGAUGAUGGUGCUACAUAAGAUUGGCUAGAUUGAAACAAGUUGUCCUCAUCGGUCAAUCUAGCCCCUUUUAUCUAUACAUUGACCAUUCAGAUUACAAAUUUGGUGAAAGAAAAAUGCUUAAUCAUUCGUUAACUACGUCUCUUCAAUUUCAGGCUCCGGAAUCGCUUAUUCACUAGGCAGGCGCAGAACAAUCUUUGCAGAUACAACUGAGUCAUAAUCCUUUGAUGGCAGUACAACACUGCUUUUAAAAGAGUGUUUAUGCAGUUUAUCCCUAAAUUGGUUUUCAAAUGAGUAAGAAAACUAUUUUGUUCAUAUAUUUUCUUGUGUGCCUAUUAACUCAGCUUUUUUGUCGUUACUUACAGCCCCUAACUUAAUUGAGCUAUUGGCAUUACCAAAAAUUGGGAAGGUCAAAUGCUAAUGUCCUUGAGUUUGGCACCAUAGCGCUUUCGGAAAUUCUGAGAAACAGAGGUAAGUUUUAAAAAUAUUCGAUUGGGAAUAUCUACUGUCUUGGUUCUAUUAAUGUUGCUAUUAUCUACAAUAUAUGGUCUGAAUAUUCACCAACAAACUAAAAUUCUUUUUGUGAGAUCUAUAGAAUAGAAUGAAAGCAAAUUUGGUUAAAAAGGCUGUUUUUGUUAUAACGCUCCUAUGAGUUAUGCCCAUAUCUUGAUGCACACUGAAGGCAAAGAGAUAGAGAAUAAUGGUGAUAUUUGUAGUUAGUAACAGAACUCCACUCAUGAGACUAUGAAUCUAAAACUAGAGUAUCCUAAAUGCUACAAUGCCAUGCUGCAUAAAUCGAACAGCUUUUGCUACAAGCUUUUAACGUCAAAUUGUUGGAUUACUUAGGUAUAAAAAUGAUAUCAGUGGUAUCUCAAAACCUUAUUUAUGAAAUUAUCUUCUUCUUUCUCAUGUUCUUCAGGCAUGGGAAAUAUUUUCCUCAAGGACUCUUACAUUUCUGUGACUAUUUAGUUUUUUCGCAUGUGAAUAAUGUCAUGCCACCAUUUACACCAAAGUUGUUGCUGGAUGAGUGUAUAUUUGAAUGCAGAGAGUUGACAGCUUGUGAUGGUUGCCACGCAUGAAUGCCCUUGCUCACCUAUUAUGUCCUUUGUCUUAGAUUCCGUAAUAUCAUCAUGUUACCUAUUGCUGCCACUAUUAUCUUGUACCUUGGAUUCUUAGAAAUGACAACAGUAUUUUAUGCCCCCCCCCCCCCCCCCCCCAAGAAAAGGUGGUAGCUCUCUGCAGAAAGAAUGUGAUUCAGUUUUCGUAGAUCCCGCUUUUAUCUUAAUCGUACCUCUUGUUGAUAAUAAAUGAUAUUGUGAUUUAUUGGACUCUUCUAACCUAUUAUUUUAUUAUUACAUUGCCUGGAACUUCAAG